UUUUUUUUUUUUUUUUUUUUGUAAGCGAUGGAUUCGAAUCAUAAAGCAACAAAUGAGAAGAGAAACCCCUCUUCUUCAAAAGAGUAAAUAAAAUUAAAGGACACAUGACAUCAAAUACAGGAGGAUUAAACUGUAUGAAGCCCGGCCAUGGCCUCCAUCUCUUUCACCAAGUCAGAGACAAAUUUCGUCUGAAUUUCACUGUUUUGCAAAAACUCCUUCCACUUCUUGUGAUUACCCCUGAUGGACUUGGCCGGCUCCUUGUCAAUGUCCGCCAUCACUCUUCCCACAGCAUCCUUUAUGUCAUCUUUCCCGAAAUACCCAUCUACAUCCCUCCGAUUCACCUCCACCCCAGCCUUCAAAUCACCGCUCACUAGCUUGGCAUUCAGCAGCUGAUCUCCUCUUACGGGCAGCAUCACCAGCUGGCAAUCGUUCACAAUUGCCUCUACAACUGAGCUGAACCCCGCAUGGAAAACGUAGCAGCCCACGCUCUGGUGGGCCAGGAUCUGCUCUUGUUGCACCCACCCCGCGUGAAUUACGGCCUUGUGCUUCACCUUCUCCAAGAACCCCUCCGGUAGGGCCCUCUUUAAGACCGCAGAGAUGUCGGCGUCCGCAGGGAAAUUCAAGACCACGAAAAAUGGCAGUCCCGUGAGGUCCAACCCCAGCAGUAGCUCUUUGACCCGUUCGUCACUCUGAAAUGCUUCGCUCCCGAAUGAACAGUAUAUGACGGACUUGGGUUCGAAUUGACCUAGCCAUGAAGCCCAUCUCCCUUCCAGAGGCUCGGAGCUCGGCUCCGGAACCACCGGCCCAACCAGUAACACGGGCUUCUUGAAUUGUUGCGUCACGUAGUCAACGUAGGGGCCCUCCAUCUCUCUGCAUGUUUUGGCGAGGAUGACGUCACAGCCGUUGAGGCCUCUGAGAACCCGGUCGUACACGCUGGCCCCACUGUAGAAGCUCUUGAACAUGUACAGGAAACCCCGCGCCUCGAAGGUUUCCACCGACUUGAUGGAGGUUUCCGGGAACCCGGGUGGCGGUUUCUUCAAGUCUGCAAUCGCAGAAGGUCUUGCGAGAUAAGAGGUAGAACCAGGUAGCCUGGCGGGGACGGUGAGAUAAGAGGUAGAAAGAGCGGCGAAGACGGAGUAGAAGACGGUUUUGAUGCCUAACUGAGAAGCAAGAGGCGGGAGCCAGUCCUGGGCGAAAUCGAAGAGUACGAUAUGGGGUUUGAGUUGGGACAAGAGGGAGCUGAUCUGAGGCUGCAUGAGGUCGAGUGCUAGGUUGAGGAGCUCGGACUGAGCACGUGAGAGAUCGCCGGUGCUCUCCAGGCCCGGGGGAAGACCCUGGACGGGUGGGAGAGUGAGAGGGAUGACUUGGGUUGUUGUGGGUGCUGAAUCUGAGUGGAGCAUGGAUUUGAUGCGGUUGACAUUGCCGAGUGCAGAGAAGAAAGAGAUCUUGACGCCAUGCAAGGAUAGCUUCUUCGACAGCUGAACAAAUGGGCUAAUGUGACCGAAUGCGAAAAAUGGGAACAUUACCACAUGGAGACAGUGUCCGCCAUUAAAUUCCAUUUCUUUAGAGUGAGUUUCUUCCCCGAUCUUCCUAUCUUAGUGAUUGAAAUUUGAAAACUCCUCCCUUUCUCUCUCUCUCUCUCUCUCUCUAUAUUAUUUCUCUUUUAAGUUGCCCUUUUAGCAAAGCAUGUAGCAUGUAGCAUGUAGCAUGCAGCAUGCAAGAAAGGAGACUAGGGUCUGGUUCUUGAAAGUUGAAAUUGGAGUGGAGUUAUAUAGCAAGGGUGUUCGUUCUGCAUUUUGCUAUAGACUACUGGAUAAAAGGUAGGAUCUAUCUUCUCCCCCCUCCUUCUUCUUCCUUUUUUUUUCAUUUUUAUUUGAAAUGUAACCGUUUUUUUUAAGAAGCAAAUGUCGUACGCAAUUAAGGCCGGGAGUAAUAUUUUGACAGUUUUGAUGACGCAUCUUUCUUCUAAUGUUUAAUGGUAUACUCUAAUGGAGCAUAGAUAGAUGCAAGACCUAUGCGUAUCAACAUUUCUGAUUUCAGAGAAUUUAUGUCCUGGUCUUAAUGAUUAUCAACUGUGAUUAACGGGUGGUAGUUUAGCAGACGGGUGGGUGGGAAGCAACUUGAUCCGGCCGUCCGAUGAUGAUGAUGAUGCUGAUUAACCCCAAAAAAACACACACACGCACACACUUUAUAUAAGAGGUUAUGUUGCUUAUUGAAUGGCGAUGAGACGUGCAACGUGUAGUGAUUAGACAACGGACGAUUGGCCGGUUAAUUACUAGUCCUGCUACGGGUUAGGUAAUGCACUUUGAUGUUACGUGACAGUAGUUGAUGCAUCCGAUGGAUCCGUGGAGUUUGACGUAAGGGAUUUAAUAAUAUCCGAUGGCAAUUCACAUCUAAUUAAUUCUCAGACCAUUUCCAACGUCUCCCUCUUUGAUGUCUUCGUCCUUAAGCAAUGGAUUAAUCCCAAGAAAAUUUCAAAGUGAUGAGGUCGAGUGGUUAAUUGGGCAAGGCAAACUAUGUACAACUUUCAGAGAUAGAAGAAAAAAUAACAAUACAAAAAAAUCUUGGCUAACUAAUCGUACGAUAAUACUUUUCCUUUCUUUUUGUUAAAGUCAAUUUAAGCAUUGUACUUUUUUCUUCUUCUUUUUUUUUUUGUUUUUUAUGAAAAUCAUUGUACGUUACUCACAUCACCUUCGAUUAUUAGAAUAAGUUUCCACUGCAUUUAUAUAUUUUGGAGUAAAGUGGUUAUAUAUAUAUAUAUGUGUGCGCGCGCGCGCGUAACAUCACCUUUGAUAGGUUUGAUUUUUUUUUUCUCUCACACAGUUUAAUAAAAGCUACUUAAUUAGUUAAUUUUAUUGAAAAAAUAAAUCUCAUUCGCUAUCUUUUUAAAACACCCUUAGUUACAUCAAAUGGAGUAUGACUGAUUAGUUUUACAUCAAAGGUAUUCGAUAAAGCAUUGUAUAAUUUGAUUGUAGGCCAAAUGUUAUAAUAACAAAUACAUCAAUAGCAUGAACAAGAUAAAAAAUGUUGAAAACACUGGCUCCAAGUCUAAAUUUUAAUAUGGCUUUAGAAUUCGGCACUCAAAAGUAAAAAGGGGAAAAAACUAUGCACCCUCUCUACCUUUUUUUUUUUUUUUUUUCCAGAAACCAUGCACCUGUAUGCUUGUUACCUGGUGUUGGCAUGCCCGCACCCGCACGAGCAUGGGAAGGCAAAUGCUCUCGCAUAGAACGAUUAAUUGAGUCGAACCGAGUAUUUGGCUGUCAAGCUCGACCCGAGAUGAAUUCGAGCCAAGUUCGAGCUAGCUCAAUUAGGCAAACAAGUUUUGAAAUGUGUUCGGACUCGUCUCACCAAAUGAGACAUGUAGCUCGAGCUCGAGGUCGAUUCGUUUAUCAUAAAUGAGCCGAGCUUACACGAGCUCGAGCUCAUGCAAAUUAACCCCACUAAAAAUCUAUAAUUUUCAAUUAUUAUACUUUUGAAUUGUAAAAUGACAAAUAUACCUUUCCUUAUCGAACCUAAUCGAACUACUCGGAUAACAGACGAAUCGAAUUUACUCGAUUUGUUAAUUAAACGAGCAUAUCUCGAGUUCGAGUUCGAGCUCGACUCGUUUACCUCAAUUAACGAGUCGAGCUCAAUCGAGCUUUCGAGCUGCUCGUUUCAUUUAACAGCUCUACUCUCGCAUAACACCGGGUUCUUCUUCACAAAUUUCUGCUUAUGUAUAGUAGACAAAAAUCAUUGUAAUGAUCUUCCAAAACAAGAGAUUUGCGGAUUUAUGCCUGGGUACAGACAGCCAGGUUCAUUGUAAUGAUCCAAUGGAACUCUUUGUUUGUUUUGAAGCAUUUAAUUGGUCCUGUUAUGAGCAACCAUUCAACUUGAAAGAAAACAGCAAAGAGCCACCAUUCCUCACUCUCCGUGGUCUUUGAGACCGAGGAGUUUGGUAAAACUGAGUCCAUGCACGCGCAUCGAAAGGGCACCCUCACACUUAGGGGUGUUUCGCGAAUCCGAGCUCGACUCGAGCUCGUCAAUAUCGAGCUCGAGUUGAGCUCGAGCUAAUUAAGUCGAUCUCGAGCUCGAGCUCGAGCUCAAAAUAUUAAGCUCGUUGGCUCGCGAGCGGCUCGCGAGCUCAAUUAUAUAUAUUUUUUUAUUUUUUAUUUUUUAUUUUAAUAGUAAAAUUACAUAUAUAUCCCUAAUAUUUUAUUAUUUGUUAAAAAAAUUAUUAUUUUAUUCAUUUUUUUAAAAAAAUUAUUUUUUAUUUUUUAACAAUAAAAUAAUAAUAAUUAUUUUUUUUUAUUUUUUUAAGCUCGAGCUCGAGCUCGACUCGAAUUUGACUCGAGCUCGAGCUCGAGCUCGAGUUCGAGCUUCACAAAAUUGACUCGAGCUCGGCUCGAUUAGCCGAAACUCGACUCGAGGUCGGCUCGUUUGCACCCCUACUCACACUCCCUCCCAGGUCUUAACCCCCCACACAGGAAUGUCUUUACUUCAAUAUGCAGUAAAACAGAUUAGGGAAAUGAUCGCAUGCUGAGAGGUGUUUCCCUCUCCUUAAUUUGUACGAAAAAGUUAAAAAAAAAAAAAAAAGAGGUGAUUUAUUAGCUGCCUGUAUUGCUUCUUGACAAAGUCAUAUAUGUUGGAUUAAAUUAACCUUGCUUGUCUAAAAUAAUAUAAUGUAGAGAAAACUAAACCAAUCUUUUCUAUCCACUCCUUUAGCUGUCAAUCAAUCCCGUGUAAAAAUUAACGAGCAGAGCAGCACUUGAGGUUGAUUUACAUACAAUCUCCGGGUGGAAACAUAUAAGAUCAGAAAUUGCAAUUAAGUAUUUUGAAAAAUGUUUUGGCUAUUCUGUCAUGAUAUUUUCCAACCAUGCUGCUUUUUAACCUUUUACGGUUUUACCGAAGAUUACAAUUGCAAAACCAAAUCCUGUUUCAGCAGAUAAAAUCAAAAAAGACUUCCAGCCAUAAAUAAAUAAACUUGAAAGAGUAGAGAAUACAAAAUGGCAACAAACGAAUAAUUGAUGUUCGGUUUUGUAUCAUACCAUAUGGGGGCGGGGGAAGAGAAUAGGCGGGCUGUGGCGGGGAAAGGGGUGGGGAAGGGGACGGGAGGAGGAAAAUGGAGGGAGAGGAAGAAGAAGAGGUGGUGGUAGUGGUAGUACUCUAUGGAAGAGGAUGAGUGGUGAAACGGAAAAUUUUUUUCAAUCACCAACAAAUAAAGAAUUUCUUCGAGAAAGGUCGUCUAUUUAAAAUCGCUGUCAAUUUGAUGAUAAUAGUGAUCAGUAACUUGUGGUCUUGAAAACUUACGCGGAACGGUGACGGUGAUCGGAAUUAAAUACCAUUCACGCUGUUUUGUACCAAAAAGUAAUGGAAGCUUCAUUUGAUGUAACGUAACCGGUGCGGGCUAAGCCGUUGCUAGUUGUACAAUGUAGCAAUACCUCGUGCGACGACAAAAUUUCAUGGGACCGACCCCGACAGGCAUGAACUGCAAAAUGCUAGUCUUACAAUUUGGUUGGACCGCUUACUCAGACAUUCUAGAAGAGAAAGUAAUUCAUUUAUCUUUUUUGUUUUCAACAAACGAAGUACUUUUGAAUAACCGGUGCCCUUUCCUUUUACUUUUCUAUGCUCUAUUGAAACGCAUUUUUGUUAGUUUUUUCCAUGUUUAUAGAUUGCCCACAGAAAUCAGAAAUGAGUACGCUCCGUUUGAUUCUUACGUGAAAAUGCCUGUCGUCCAAUUACGUACUCUGUAGAAAAUUCCAUUUUCGGACUGCAGGAACUUUUAUUAGUGUGCUUGUAUAGUCCAUCUUGGAAAAGAUUUUUUUUAUUUUAUCAUAAUCAUAAUUUUAUUUUAUUUUUCAAUUAUCUUAUCAUUUUAUGUACACUAUAUCAUAAAAAAAUUAUGAUAUUAGAUUAAAUUGUUCAAAAUUAUCUUCCAUCCAAAUACACUAAAAAAAACACACACACAAUAAUUUUAGGAAAAAGAAAGUAGUACAAUUACUCGAUUGUGAUUGGUAUCUUUACAGAAAUGAUAUUGCAAAGGGGCCGUGAACGGUGUCUUUUCCCAAGGUGCUACAUCGAGGUGGGUCACGCAAUUCCAAAGUCAAGACCAGAAGUUGCGGACAUGCACGUCAUAUUUUUUCAGGAAACAUGCACAAAUAGAUCUAGUGAUUCGAAUUUGCAAAUUCAAUAUAGUAAAAUACUACUGACUUUUAUGAUAGUAGUACCAUGAUAGUCAUACGUUUGAAGAAUGUUUUUGGCGCAGCUUGAAGAUGAGGGUGGACAGUUGCGAAUGGUUUCUUCUAGAUACGGUCGACCAACCGGUCAAACAAAGAAAUAAAAGCGCCUGUCAUUCCGCGUUGUAGCCACCCGUUUGGCUGGGAGGUUUUGUACCCGACGAUGGUUCUUCUAGAUACGGGCGACCAACCGGUCAAAGAAAGAAUCAAAUAAAAGGGUCGGUCAUUCCGCUUUCUAGCCACCCGUUUGGCUGGGACUGGGAGGUUUAGAAAAUUUUGAUUCCUAUUACACAAUUAGCUACCAGCGGGCAAACGCAAACAUCGAGGAAGAACCCGCAGAUUGGUGCCCAUUGUUUAAUUUGUUUAUUCCUACGUUUACCGUCGCUGCUUACAAUUCAUACGUACCCGUCUAAUCCUUUUGCCAGCUUUGCCUUUUUUCUUUUUUUUUUUUGACUUUUAAUUCGUUAUGUUGACACUUUAAACGCCAAAGAAGCGUUUACUUGAUGGACAGGACAGUGGUUGAAUAAAAGAAAUACAUUCUGAAAGAUACCCGACUUUGAGCUAGGGCCAAAACCAAAAAAGUGUUACUAGGGACUCAAAUACGAGUUCAACUCAAUUGAGAGCUCUUUUAUUAGUAGUAUUAGCUAGUUGGUAAAAAAUUGAAGGCUAAUUAAGAUCGAGUGUUCUUCAACUUUUCAAGUCGGUUUAAUGAUCAUGAAGUCUCAAUUUACACGUAGGGGUAUAAACGAGUCUAAUCAAAUCGACUGCGCUAUUGUUCAAGUUUGUUUGAUUAUUUUACGAUAUUUAAAUUUUUGUUCAAUUUUAAUUUGUUUAUUCGUUAAACUGAACUUGAACUGGUUCUUUUAAAAUCGAGUUUGAAAGUUAUUAAAUAUAAAACACUGUUUAACUUUGAUUUGAUUAAUUGGCGAACCAAACUCGAGCAAGUUUUUACUAAGCUAAAUUCGAUUUGAAUUUCGAGUAGUUUGAUUCAUCUUUCAAUCAUGUUUACACAAAAUAUAAUGAAAUAAUAUAAGGUUUGGAAUUAUUAUUAUUAUUAUUUUUAAAAAGUUGGUUCAAACUCAAGCUAUGACACAGUUUAUUUGGAUAAGAGUUUAUUUCGAGUAGUUUGUUUGGAUAAGAGUUUAUUUGGAUGAUUUAUUUGAGAUAUUUACUGUAGCACUUUUUGUGAUGUGAUGUAUGUGAGAUAAAAAGGUGAUUGGGAAGAUAAAAAGGUGAUUGAAAUUUGUGAAAACAAAUUUUGCAAACCAAAUUUGGCUUGUCCAAGUGUGAUUGAUUCAUUUAAUAUUGUUUACACGGAGCAUAUGAAUCCUUGGUAUCUUCUGGGUCCACACGAGUAAUCCGUUGGUGUUUCGCAAAUGCUGCCCCAAGUUUUCAUUGGUUAAGAUCCAGCGAAAGGGCCGCUACACAUCCCCGACCUAGUUUACAAUUUUGGGUUGUAAUACCACUCAGCAAUCUCAAAAGGAUGAUCCGUUAAACUUGGGCCACGACGGAGCACCUUUACCAUUAGUUGGUUCACCUUGAAAUUCUAGUUUGCAGGCUGCGUUUGUCUCAUGGGCCACGAUGACCCAUUCCCUGAAUUAUUUUCGUAAAUCUUUCGGUCCAAAUUAUCCUAUAUUUUUCCGAGUGUCAGUGGACAGCAUUCCUAGCCCCUUCCAAGAGAGGAAAUGACAAGAAGCACAGAGAAUCACAGCCGCCGGGCCUUAGGUAACGCACUCACCAUCACUGCUGCAAUUAUUUUUGGUCCAUAUGACUUGGCCUGGAAUGUUAAAAUCACGGUGUUAAAUUUGUCCAUUUACAAGUACCUACUUUUAUUACUACUAGCAUUAUAGUAAGCAUUCCAAGAAAUAUUGUGUCUGCUUUUUUGAUUGUUCCGAUCCGUGGAUGGCUAGAAUACGUUACUUGAAUGAAAUUGUUUGGCACUUGAGUUUUUUGCCAAGUUUGUCUGCUACAAGUUUUUUAAAAACUUUAGCUACAGUAACCUUAAAAAAUUUCUCAAAAAUUUUAAACUAUACAGUUAAAAAUAUUCAAAAAUUUACACACUUCAAAAUUUUUUUUAAAAACUUCUACAGUAAGCUACAGUAAAAUUUUAGACAAACAUAAAAAAAACCUCACUUUCCUAACAGGGCUGAGCUUGUAGAAUCAUAUUAAAUAUUUGAUGAUACAUUCCGUGCUUUACUGAAAAAUGGAUCAUUGUUUGUCAACCAUAUAUUAUCUAACCAAAUCAAAUUCUCUCUUUAUACAUUUCUCAAAAAAUCCAAUUCCUUCCCUUAACUAAGGAAGAGAUCUUGGAGGAAUUGCCAUUUAUGAAAUUGAGCAUCUUCGAAACCCAUUGCAUCGGGCUGGGGGAGUGCAAGAGAAAUCAUAUAGAAUAGAUAUCUUAAGUGGUCACCUUGUUUGGAUUGCCGUUUUUCGCCGAAAAAUUACGUCGUUUUUCGUGAUCACAUUUCCCUAUUAUCUUUUUCUCUCAUAUACAUCAAAUCGCUACAGUAAUUUUUUCAUGAAAAAUGACUGAAAAUGCAAUCCAAACGGGGUAUAACUUGGAAUUUAACUGCUAUUUAUGCAAACAAGCACAAAAUGCACCUAGUACCUGUUCUUUUCUAUUCUGUUUAAACCUUCUCUUAUAAAGCUUUGGUAUAAAAUUGAAUGAAGCACGCCAGAUGGUUCAUGCAAUACUAUACUGAGAUUGAAGUGUUAUUGAAAAUUUCUUUUGUGGGGGGGGGGGGGGGGGGGGCCGGGUCUCAAUAGCCCAAGUGUUGCUAAUUGAGCAUCAAAUAGGUGUUGGCUUUGCUCUUGUGUCUGAGAUCGCCAAGGGAAAAAUAGUAGAAUUAGCGGAAACCUACCACCAGAGUUCAAGGUUGCUUUGUCAAAAGCAUUAAUAUUGGUUUUGUGGAACCUAACUAUUCAUACAUUUUCGUCAAAAACUAAAAAAAGGUUCAAGUCGUUUUUUGAAAUAAAUUGACAAUCGAUAACGAUUUUUCCUUGGGCCACUCUUGCCCCCAAGAAGACUUGCUCAUUCAUGUAUAGUCAAGCAUUAGUUAAACACGAAUCUGACUGCUAAACUAAUACUGCCAUAUAGUCUACUAGUUCUCAGUUCUACUCUACGUCUUUGUUUCACCGUUCACACUUCACACUUGUUCAGGAUGUAUCUUCUUCCACAUCUGCUUGCAAUUCUUGGUCUCUCAGCUUUGCUUCUACUUUACAAACAACGGAUACCGAUGAAUCAGAAUUCAAAUAGUAAUAGUUUCAAGGCCCGCAAACAGCCCCCAGAACCAUCAGGUGCCUGGCCUGUCAUAGGCCACCUUCCACAAUUGAACAGCCACGGCACCCUGGCCAGGACCUUUGGAGCCCUGGCAGAUAAAUACGGUCCUGUCUUUUCCAUCCGGCUGGGAAUGACCCGGGCCCUGGUCGUGAGCAACUGGGAAGCUGUCAAAGAAUGCUUUACAACCAACGACAAAGUCUUGGCUUCUCGCCCGGAUUCUAACGCCGGAGUAUACCUCGGCUACAAUAACGCAGCUUUUGGUUUUGCACCUUACGGCCACUUUUGGCGCCAGAUGAGGAAGCUGGUUUUGCUAGAGGUUCUUUCGAAUCGAAGGCUCGAGACUCUCAGGCAUGUCCGAGUCUCAGAAAUACAAACCAGCACCAGGGAAUUAUUCUCAGUUAUCAACAGAGAAGAAAAUGCUCCAGCAAAGGUGGUGAUGAGCGAGUGGGUUGAGCAAUUAACUUUGAACAUAAUUGUGAGGACAAUUGCCGGCAAGAGAUACAGUGAUAGCGCAGCUGGUAACAGAAUUGAUGCUCAGUAUUUCAAGAAAGUUGUCAAGGAAUACAUGUAUGUUACAGGGCAAUUAGAUUUGUCCGAUGUGAUUCCAUUUCCACUCCUGAGAUGGCUUGAUCCUCUGGGGCAUAUUAAAUCCAUGAAGCGUCUUUUCAAAGAGCUUGAUGCUAUCAUGCAAAUCUGGAUCGACGAACAUGUUGAGAAAAGAAGGACGAAGAGCAUUUCCGGUGAUGAGCAAAGCUUCAUAGAUGUUCUGCUUUCAGUGAUUGAAGAUGACUUCACACUUGGCCAACCCAGGGAGACCUUAAUCAAGGCCACAAUAAAUGUCAGUCAACUCUUCUCCAAAGUCGUUGCACUAUAGUACUACGUACUAAAUAGAUUUUCCAACCAACUAAUCUUUUUUCCAACCACAUCCACAUCCCUUUUUAUCUCCCAAGAUAUAUGGUAAAAAAAAAGAGGAACAUCUAGAUAUUUUUCGAAAUAUACAAAAGAUAUUUAAUUCUAGUAAUUGUGUGUGUGUCUCUCUCUCUCUCACACACACACAUAUAUCUAUAUAUAUAUAUAUUGUGUACGUCAACAUCGGAAUAGGGAGUACGUGGCAACAAUAUAUUAUUGUUUACAGUCGUCUGUGCUGAAAAACAAAACCGAAGGGGCCAAUCAAGAAAGCUAACUUUAUUAAGACGUAAAAACAAGGGACUUCAGGAGAUUACAACAUACAGGUUUCUUAUACGGUAUAAUCUAAUACUAUAUCGCUAGUUUUAAGUUUGUUUGGAUAAGAGUUUAUUUGAAUGAUUUAUUUGAGAUAAUUACUGUUGUAUUUUUUGUGAUGUGAUGUAUGUGAGAUAAAAAGAUGAUUGGAAAAAUAAAAAGGUGAUUGAAAUUUGCGAAGCAAGUAUCGUCAUUAAUUAAUUUGUGUGAUUCUAUGAAUUCUUUUUCUUGUUUUAGCAACCAAACAUUUGGCUUUUCAUUUUUAAAAUCUAGGUGCAUGCCCCAUAAAACAAAAUAAUAGAAUAUAUCGUUCUGGACUUGCUGAUGCUUGUCAAAUAGAAUCUCCUAAAAAAGGUUAUUAUAACUCAUAAUCCAUUGAUUUUUCACGUUGCAGAAUCUGAUCCUAGCAGGAUCCGACACGACGUCAGUUCAUUUGACAUGGCUGUUAUCCCUCUUAGUGAACAAUAGGCAAGUGAUGGAGCAAGCACAAGAAGAAAUAGACUCAAGCGUUGGUAAAGAGAGAUGGGUAAACGAAUCCGAUAUAAAGAAUUUAGUAUACCUCCAAGCAAUCGUGAAAGAAGCAUUGCGCUUAUACCCACCAGGACCUCUAUCGGUGCCCCACCUAGCCAGGGAAGAUUGCGAGGUAAGUGGUUACCAUGUCCCGAAAGGCACUCGUUUAUUUGUCAACGUGUGGAAGCUGCACCGCGAUCCAAGAAUUUGGUCGGAGCCGGACAAGUUUUGCCCUGAGAGAUUCAUGACUAGCCACGCAGAGGUUGAUGUUUCUGGCCAGCAUUUCGAGUUCACCCCUUUUGGCUCUGGCAGGCGGUCUUGUCCGGGAAUAACAUUUGCGAUGCAAGUGACGCAUUUAACGCUAGCGCGGCUGCUUCAGGGGUUCAAUUUUGCUGCACCUUCAGACUUGCCCGUUGACAUGGCCGAAGGCCAAGGAAUGACCUUGCCCAGGGUAAAUCCGCUUGAGCUACUGGUGGUGCCUCGCUUGGCCUGUGAGCUUUAUGAAUAUUAAAUUAGCCAGCACAGCAGGUUGGAUAAAGGAUAAUCUAAGCAGUUAAAUGCUUCUAAUUGUUAGUACUACUACUUAUUUCUUAUUCCAACAAGUUGAUGUAAAAUGAUUCGUGCUAGUGUGUGUAUAUAUAUAUAUAUAUAUAUUUCUUCAUUCAAAGCCAAUUGUAGUGGGGCCCACGAACACGUCGGCCUGGCCCAUAAGCUCGGCUGGUAGGAGGUUCCCGGCCCAGCAGGUCGGCUUGGAUGGGCCGCGCAGGCUGCAGAGCCCAAGCACGCCCUAACUAAGCUAUGGAGCCCUAGGGAGAGUUAUGCUCCCAUAAGGACUCCCUGUUCUACUAGGAGACUACUACCUGUGACUCUAUAAAUACCAUGCGUGGGGAAAACACAAGGUACGCUAUUCAUAGCACAAUCUCUACUCUUUCACUUACAAAUCUUCCUCUGACUUGAUCGUCGGAGUUGCUACAGGGGACCCAGCCCCUAAGCUCGCCCGCGCGCAGGUCGGACGACUCAGCUCGCUCCCUAGGCACCCGGUCAGGUCGGACCUUCACUUCGGCAGUCGCAUCAAUUGGCGCCGUCUGUGGGAAACACGUUACUUCUCUUCGCGAAUCAUGCCGAAAACUAGGUCUCAAAGGAACGCUGGUGGGUCCAAAGGGAUGGAGCGAAGCGGCCCCCAAAACUCUCAUGCGGAUCCGACACCCGAAGGAGCAGGGGCGGGGCCCUCACGGAUCCCACCCGAACAGCUGGUGCAGACGGUGGCAGCAAACCUGCCCACCUUCGAGGCGAUCAUGGACUACCUCAAAGGGCAGUCGGGAGGUCAUUCCGACAAGGAGCCUAAGGUACAAGGAGCCGACCUGUCAGGGUCCCGAACUGGGAGUCCCAAUCACGGGGCCAAGCGGACGCAUCGGGAACUCACACGUGAGCAGGUCGAGGUCGUAGAGCCAUCUCACAAGAAUUCCCGGACUGAACAUCCGGAGCCCGUCCGGAGGCUCUCCCCCCUGAGGGAGCGACAACAGGUACGGGACGAGUUUGACCUAAUCCUCGACCCGGAGGCGGAGAGGUACAUUGCUUCCCCCUUUGUGCUUGACAUCGAGGAAUACCAACUGCUCGCGAAGUUCAAAAUUCCGACCAUGAAGCCUUACGAUGCCACCACGGAUCCGGAAGACCACCUGUUCGUAUUCAUGACGCAGAUGCGCUUACAAACGGCCGCGGAUGCGGUCAGGUGCAAGACCUUCCCGAUGUUCCUAGAAGGAAGGGCUCGGCAGUGGUUUCAGGGGCUUCCCCCCAGAUCGAUCAGCUCUUUCACCCAGCUCGCGCGAGCAUUCUCGGCACAGUUCGUUUCCUCGCGAGCCUUCUCUAAAAGCACCGCUCACCUUAUGACCAUCCAACAAAAGGUCGAGGAAUCACUGCGUGAAUACAUGGUGCGGUUCAAUAACGAAUCCCUCCAGGUCCGUGACCGAGACGACAAGGUGGUCAUGGCUGCCUUCAUUAACGGGCUACGGAAGCAGAAAUUAUACACCGAGCUCGUGGAGAGACCGCCCAAGUCAGUUCGGGAGAUGCUGGACCGAGCUCAUGAGAAGGCCAAUGCUGAAGAGGCUAACCGCUUGAAGAGCGCUCAGGAGAGGCAGAGGGACGACAAGCGCCGAAGAAUAACCGACCAAGGAGACGUUCGACGUGACCAAGGGCGGAAGCCUACCUAUGACCACCCGCCUAGAGGCCGACCCCUAGGGGGGGACAAGCCUUGGACUUCCCUCACGGCUCCCCGAGCUCGGGUCCUCGCGGUGAUGGAGCAAGAGGGACUUUCCCGACCUCCCCGGCCCUUGGCCGGGGAUAGAAACAGGAGAGAUCAGGACCUGUACUGUGCGUACCACAGGGAUGUGGGGCACGACACUGAAGACUGCCGCCACCUUAAGAAGGAAAUUGAAAAGCUGAUCCGGAGGGGUCAUCUGGGCCAGUUCGUCCGCGAGGGGCGAACUGAUCAGAAGCAGGGAGGAUUCAAACGAGAUCGGGCGUCCAGCUCGCACGACCGACCUCGGGGUCCUCGGGAGCGGACUCCGGUACGUGGGGUGCCGAAUCUGGCGGGAGUAAUCAACACUAUUGCAGGGGGACCUGCUGGAGGGGAUAGCCAUUCGGCUCGGCGAAAUAACAGACCUCCCCCCAGUGGGGAGAGCUCAAACAAGCGCUUAAAGAUGUACGAGGAGAUCGUCUAUGGGCCGGAGGAUGCGGUACCCUUAGCUUCCAAUAACCACGAGGCAAUAGUGAUAGAAGUCAUCACGUGUAACUAUAAGGUGAAAAAGGUGUACAUUGACAAUGGGAGCGCCAUCGAUGUGUUGUACUACAAGGCCUUCAGAGAACUGCAGCUGGAAGAUAAGCAGCUCAUCCCAGUUCGUACUCCCUUGAUAGGUUUUGCAGGUCCGCCGGUAAGGCCUGAGGGGAUGAUAACCCUUCAGGUCACUAUUGGGGAGUCACCAAGGUGCCGAACUGUUUCGGUGAAUUUCGCGGUGGUAAAGGAGCCGUCCUCCUACAACAUGAUAUUGGGACGUCCAACCCUAAACGCACUCCGAGCUGUCUGUUCGACCUUACACCUCAGCAUGAAAUUCCCCACUCCCGAGGGAGUGGCCGAGGUGCAGGGGGACCCGGAGGUAGCUCGAGCCUGCUAUAUUGCGACCCUCAAGGGUAAGGAGAAGCUGGUGGCGCAGACAGUCCUUCUGGAGCCCUGGGAGCCUACUGAGAAGGAGGAGAGGUUGGAGACGGACGAAAAUCUGCUCGAAUUGCUUGUCAACCCCGAGCGACCUGAUCGUGUGAUUAAGGCGGGAUCUGGACUAAACGAGCAGGUAAGGAGGGCCCUGGAGUCCCUCCUGGAGGAGUACGCCGAGAUCUUUGCUUGGAGUGCCGAGGACAUGCCAGGAGUUCCUCCCGAAUUGGCAGUCCACAAGCUGCAUGUGGAUCCGAGCAUCCGGCCAGUGAAACAGAAGAAGAGAAACUUUGCACCUGAACGCAACGAGAUCGUUAAAGAAGAGGUGGGCAAGCUGUUGGAGGCUAGAAUUGUGAAAGAGAUCCACUAUCCGACCUGGCUGGCCAACCCGGUGCUGGUCAAAAAGGAGGACAAGGCUUGGCGGAUGUGCGUGGACUUCACCGACCUGAAUAAGGCUUGCCCGAAGGAUUGCUACCCUCUCCCUCGCAUCGACCAGCUGGUCGACUCAACAACUGGGUACGAGAUCUUCUGCUUUCUGGAUGCUUUCAAAGGGUAUCACCAGAUAGCUCUGGAUGAGGAGGAUCAAGAGAAGACUGCCUUCAUCACCGAAUACGGUACGUAUUGUUAUACCACCAUGCCAUUUGGCUUGAAAAAUGCAGGCGCGACCUAUCAGCGGCUGGUCAAUAAGCUGUUCAAAAACCAGAUCGGCCGAAACAUGGAGGUAUACGUGGAUGACAUGCUGGUGAAAAGCCAAACUCAGGAGCAGUUCGUUGACGACCUCAGGGAGAUCUUUGACGUCCUACGGAGCUCGCGGAUGCGAAUAAAUCCCAAGAAGUGCACCUUCGGGGUCAGGUCGGGCAAGUUCCUUGGAUACAUGAUAUCAAAAGACGGAGUAAGGGCUAACCCCGACAAGGUAAAAGCCAUCAUGGACAUGGCUCCGCCCCGAAGCAUAAAAGAGGUUCAACGGCUAGCUGGCAGGAUGGCGGCCUUGAACAGGUUCUUGUCGAAAUCUGCAGUUCGGGGUUUCCCUUUCUUCAGGGCCCUGCGAAGAGGCCCUCAGUUCGAGUGGACCCCCGAGUGUCAGCAAGCGUUUGACCAGCUAAAAGCCUACAUCGCGCGAUUGCCGUCCUUGACCUCUCCUGCGCGUGGAGAAACCUUAUUUAUCUAUCUAGCAGUAGGGGAGGAGGCGAUCAGUGCGGUACUAGUUCGGGAAGAAGGAAAAGUCCAGAAGCCUGUAUACUAUGUCAGCCGAGCUCUGCAGGGCGCGGAGACAAGGUACACCUCGAUUGAGCGAUAUGUCUUGGCGUUAGUUCACGCGGCUCGGAAGCUUAGGUCAUAUUUUCAAGCUCACCCUGUGGUGGUUAUGACCGACCAGCCACUCAAGCAAAUUCUUUCAAGGCCUGACGCCUCAGGGAGAAUGGUGAGGUGGGCCGUGGAGCUGUCCGGAUACGACCUCGGCUACCAACCUCGCACGGCCAUUAAGGCCCAAGCAUUGGCAGAUUUCAUAGCCGAAGGGGUCUCCUUCGGACAACCGGAACCACAGGUCAAACGGACCAGAGACGCAGCCGAGGCCCCGCAGGUCGGAGAAGCUGUCGAGGCCACGCGGACCACCCAGUCCCGAACGACCCAAGGCGUGGCGGAGGCCAGGCAGGCCGCAAAAGCUGCCCAGGUCGAGCGAGCCACCAAGGCUUUCGAGGCCAAGCAGGCGAAGGGACAUGUCAAGGUCGGUCAGGCCACAAAGGGAGCUCAGGCCGGACAGAUCGGAGAAGCAGCGGAGGCGGAACAUGCCGAAGAGGCUGUCGAGAUCGAACAGGCCACUGGCGAAAUUGAUCAGAUCAUUCCAGUCUGGACCCUGUUCGUGGAUGGGUCGUCAAGCAAGGAAGGAUGCGGGGUAGGGCUCCUCCUGACUAGCCCUAUGGGGGAUGAGUUGGCCUAUGCCCUGAGGUUUGAUUUCAGGGCCUCUAACAACGAGUCCGAAUACGAGGCCCUGGUCGCAGGGAUGGUGAUAGCUCGGAAGUUGGGGGUCGAGUCAAUAGAAGUCUACAGCGACUCACAGCUGAUAGUCAACCAGGUAGGGGGAAGUUACGAAGUCAAGGAGGAGCCCCUAAAAAGGUACGUCGCCAAAGUGCAUAAGCUAAGGGCCCAGUUCAAGGUAUUCGCGCUCAAGCAGGUCCCUCGGAGCCAAAAUAAGAGGGCGGAUGCCCUGUCCAGGCUAGCUUCCACCUCGGUUGGCACGUUGAACAAAGAAGUCUUGGUGGAAGUCGUCCGAAAUCGGGCGUAUGACCAGGUGGACUUGUCUGUUAUUCAAGUAGUGAGCUCAUGGAUGGAUCCCAUUGUACGGUGUUUAGCUAGUGGAGAGCUCCCUCAAGACCGGGUGGAGGCGCGAAGGGUCCUCCUCAGGUCGCGGGGAUACGAGCUCUCAAAUGGGGUGCUUUACAGGAAAUCCUACCUACGCCCGUGGCUGAGGUGCAUUACUCCGGAAGAGGGACACUACAUCCUGCGUGAGCUGCACGAGGGCAUCUGUGGAAACCACGUCGGCCCGAGGGUUUUGGCCAAGAAAGGAAUGCUGUCUGGUUAUUACUGGCCGACCAUGUUCUUGGAUUCGAUUGAGUUGGUAACUCGGUGCAAGUCCUGCCAGCUGCAUGCGCCGAUCCAUCACGCCCCGACUCAGGAGAUGAUCCCUCUUCAGAGCCCUUGGCCUUUUUUCCAAUGGGGAAUCGACCUGUUGGGUCCAUUUCCCCGAGCUCCAGGGGGUUAUGAGCAUGUGGUUGUGGCCAUAGACUAUUUCACCAAAUGGUUAGAGGCCGAGCCCCUUGUCACCAUUAGCAGCAGGUCGGUGCAGAAGUUCCUCUGGAAAAACAUCGUUUGCCGAUUUGGUAUACCCCAUGUCCUGGUCUCCGACAACGGACGCCAGUUCGCUGACGUUGCUCUUCAAGGUUGGUGCACGGAGCUCGGAAUCCGGCAGCACUUCACCUCGGUAGGCCACCCUCAGGCAAACGGGCAGGUCGAAAACGUCAACAGGACCACACUGCACGGCUUAAAGACACGGAUGGAGUCCGCCCGAACUGGGUGGUUGGACGAACUGCCGACCAUACUGUGGGCUUACCGAACCACUCCCCGAACUGCUACUCAGGAGACUCCUUUCGUGCUGACCUAUGGAGCAGAGGCUGUGAUCCCGGCGGAGAUAGGUGUUCCUUCGAACAGGGUUCAGAACUUCAUAGCUCAGGACAAUGAAGAGGAGCUGCGUCUUAACCUGGACUUGCUGGAAGGACGGAGAGAAAAAGCAGCUAUACGCAUGGCCAAGUAUAAGGGACAGAUCGCGCGACACUACAAUGCUAGGGUAAAGCCUCUGGCUUUCAAGCCAGGGGACCUGGUCCUGAGGAAGAACAGCGUAAGUCGGCUUCAGGGCACUGGCAAGCUGGGUCCAAAUUGGGAAGGACCCUAUGUGGUGAAAGAAGCAGACCGAGCUGGAUACUGCAGGUUAGCUCAUCUCAGCGGGGAAGAGGUCCCUCGUACUUGGCACAAUUCCAACCUGAGGAUUUUUCGUUAGGCUCGCACGUGACAGUUCGGUUAAAGGUCAAAACUUCGAUUAAUGUUGAUGUAUUUCGUUAACAAAUUAUUCUGUCUUAGAGUAGCUCGUUUAGGUCGGUAUCGGGCCGAACGGGUGUAUCUUGUGACAAAGUUUGUCGAAUAAAACUAAGUGUGAAGCAAAAUUAUGCAAAAGGCUUUUCAUUGAGUUCAUCAAGACUGUUCAAAAGGGAGCCGAGCUCAUACAAAACAAACUGCCUACUGACAGUUCGGAUUCUACCCUAAGCCCUAUUCUAGUUUUCACCCUCCUCUUCCUCCUGCUCGGAUUCGGGGGUGGUCACUGGCAGCAGGGGGUCGGCAACCAGGUCGGUCAGCUUCCGUCCGUGCGUGUAGCCCUCCACCAGGCGGUCGAGCUGCUCCACGGCCAGGGGGUUGUAGCUGGGAAAGUUCCCCAGGUCGAACCCAGGCAGACCUAGCCCUUGCACUUCUUGCAGAGCUUGGGAAUACCCAUGCUGCAGAACGGGGGUAUUCAGGAUGGCCAGGUCGCCCCUGAAUUCCUCGGACCUGAGGAAGGUCCGCACGCCCUCCUGGCUUCCCUCAGCCCUGGCCGCCUCCGCUUGCGCAGACAACCCAGCUGCCUUCUGCUGUUCCUCUUUCAGCUGGGAGGUCAGCUCGGCGUUCUUUUUCAGUUCUAGCUCGAAGUUUGUGUGGACUUGCGCGAGCUGCUUCUUCAGGCCUUCAGCUUCGGCUACUGCUGCUUCGUUCUGGCUGAGCAAUUUCUCGUUGGCCGUCUUUGUUUCACUCAGCAGGGGAAGCAGGCUUUCGUAGCGCCUGGCCAGCUCGGACCCAACCAGGUUUACCUGCGCCGUCCCCGUGUAGAAGUAGUUGAGGAGGUCGGAUGACUCCAUGGCCUUGGUCAAGUUGUAGUCCCGUGGGAGGAUGGCCCCGUGAGCGAGCUCCCGUGCCACCUCGGGGAACUGAGCUCGGUCAUUUAUGGAUAGCUUCCACGGGGGGCAGAAGUGCAUGGGGUGCUGGUGCGUCGUCAGCCGAGUCUGGGGGUCGAAGAGCAAGGAGCUCUGACGUUGCCACAAGUUAGGGGGAGCUUCAGCUCGGGCUUGCUCCUCGGCUGAGUUCACGCCGUAGUGGCCGCCCUGAGCCGUCUCAGGUGUGGACCUCUCUUCCCGAGCUGGGGACGAGGGCGUUUCCACCCUAGCUCUCUUGGCAGUGGUCUUCUUUUUCUUUUUCUUCCCAGCCUCAGCCGCCUUGGAAGAUUGGGCAGGAGUUGGUUGAGGUAUGGGAGCUGGCACCGAGCUGGUUGGGAUGGCCGAAGGACUCUGCGUAGCAGCGCCUGGGUUGCUGAUGCCACCGAUGGACAGAAGUGAGGAAAAUCGCUUCACUACACAAACAGAGGGCCAGGAGAUCAGUAAAAAAAAAAUAUAUAUAUAUAUAUAUAAAAUAAAAAUAAUAAAAUGAUGAUGAUAAAAGAAAAUGGACGGAAGGGCAGGAUGGUUACAGGCGUCCAGCUCGUCUGUCGAGAGUGGCCUAUCCUCUAAGGAGGGGUCCGAGGAGCUAGCUCGGAUCAACCCCGCCGCCCAGAGCUGGUUGUUGCUAAGUUCCUUCACGUCCAGCUUCGCGUCCGAGCUGAGUAGGCGGCUAAGCUCGGACACGGGGAGCAGGGACGGAAGGGGAUCUGAGACUUGAGUCUCUGCCCUCCAAGUAAGGGGAGGGAAACCUAAGUUCCUCACAAAGAAGAACUGGGGCUUCCAGUCCUUGAUUGAAGAAGGUGCCCCCGUGAACAGCUCGCGGGUGGGGGUUUUCGCCCCACUUCGUCGGGCAAAGUAGAACCACCCAGGCACCUUCCCGCUGACCUUCAUCUGGAAGAAGGCCCGGAAUAGGUCGAGAGAAAAGGGGAUCUCAAGUACUCGGCAGAGGAUGAAAAAACCGAGGAUGGAGCGAACAGCGUUGGGGAUGACCUGAGUUAUGCGAAUGCCCCAGAAGGUAAGGAUAAAGAAGAGGAAAUUGGGGAUGGGCAGGCGGAGGCCAGCCAUCAGCUGAUCCCUGUAGAUCGCCACGAAACCAGGAGGAGGUCGGCUGGCGACCUCCCCUGGGCGGGCGGCCCUGGGCUCGAAUUGGGCUGGGAUUUCGUAUUUUCCCGCCAGCUCGUCAACAUCUUUUUGCUCCAGGGCUGGGGGGAUGGUGUCGACUUCCCCAAAGUCGCCAUGCGGCCCCUCCGAGGUCCCUGCCACCGUCUGAUCUGGAGCUACCCGUUCGGCAGCUCCGACCAUAGGUUGGGCAGGUUGCUCGGCUGGGUUCAUUAUUCUAACAGAAGACGGAUUGGGAGAGACUGCGGGUUCUGGCCCAAAUGAAAUAGAAGGGGUAGAGCUGAGGGAAUCUGAAGAGCUGCUAUCUAGGAGUAUGGGGCUAGCUGUUCUGUGUCUAUGGGCUGAGCUGGUGACGUCGGAGCUAUCAGAACUGUAAGAAGACAUAAAAAGAAAAGGGGAACUUACUGAUGGAAGGAGAUCGGGUGGAAGGCUGAUAUAGGUAAUGCGCGAACUGGCUCUGGACUCCUAGGGCAAGGCGACCCGACGUGUUCUCAAAGGAAAAAGGAUGAAGCAGCGAGCUAAGGAGUGAAGGAGCGAACUAAGGAAAUAAGAGAAGGAGAGUGAAAAUGACGCUUGGAGGACCCUAUUUAUAGGCAGCGACAGCGCGGGAAAACGAAGGGGCGCGCAGUUAUUAGAGCAGUUAUGGGGAACCGUUCCUAACCGCCAUAAUUGGCCGAGGCGACGAUUGAGGUGAUAGACGCGAACUGACGCGACGGUUGCUUGCACCACUCUCUGACGGCGGGUCCCACAAGGAGCUUACAUGACCUCCUAGAAUUCGGCCUAGAUUCACGCGCACGAUCGAUGACUCUAGACUUAAGGGGGGGCUAGUGUAGUGGGGCCCACGAACACGUCGGCCUGGCCCAUAAGCUCGGCUGGUAGGAGGUUCCCGGCCCAGCAGGUCGGCUUGGAUGGGCCGCGCAGGCUGCAGAGCCCAAGCACGCCCUAACUAAGCUAUGGAGCCCUAGGGAGAGUUAUGCUCCCAUAAGGACUCCCUGUUCUACUAGGAGACUACUACCUGUGACUCUAUAAAUACCAUGCGUGGGGAAAACACAAGGUACGCUAUUCAUAGCACAAUCUCUACUCUUUCACUUACAAAUCUUCCUCUGACUUGAUCGUCGGAGUUGCUACAGGGGACCCAGCCCCGCAGCUCGCCCGCGCGCAGGUCGGACGACUCAGCUCGCUCCCUAGGCACCCGGUCAGGUCGGACCUUCACUUCGGCAGUCGCAUCACCAAUCAAUCACAGGCUGAUUAUCAUCGGACUAGUAAUAACCAACUACGCUACUUCCUAUAGUUCCUGGACUCAUAUUUGAUGCUGAAUAAAAUUAAUUAAUAAAUCUCUGCAGUUGAAUAAGAGCAUAAGAAUCACUUAGUAUUGUUACUUAGUACACGUAUUUAGUUAUGCUGACAAUACUAACCUAAAAUCCCGUGCUACGUACGCACUGUCAAACAAAUAUUAGAAAAUAUUUAUAUAUAUAUAUGAAUUAAUCUUUCCUACACUGACUGACAGUGUAUAUACUAUUAACGUUGACGAAUGAUAAUUAUGUAAAAUUUAAAUUUAAAAUUCAACUUUUACAUAUAUGUCAUGAAUUAAACGAUAAUAAUAUACACACUAUUAGUAUAUAUAAAAUUUAUUAUAUAUAUAUAUUAUAUACACGCGCGUGCGCGCACACUAGGAAGUGGUAGCAUUUGUAAAUCCAAUAAAAAUAUGUCCCUUUAACUAAGGAAAUGGUAGUAGAUAAAUAAAUAGUACUAAUAGUAGUAGUAGCAAGUCAAAAAUCACGUGUCCAGCUCAGCUGCUAAGAAGAGAGUGCCAACAUUGUACGUGGACAUGUCAGCAAGCUAUUGGUUUACCGCCCUUCCGGGAAUCCAUAGGUGACCACGUCAUCCCUCAAAAAUCCAAUAAAAGUAGUCGACUCGUACUACGUCGGCGCUGGUGGUAGUAGUACCAGGUAACGAGCGGAGGCACCCAAAGCCAAUCCCAAAAGUGGAAAGCGCAAAGGUCAACACUGAACCUGCAAACUUGCUCUGUCUUCGCCUUCGCGCUCUCAAACAGAAACCAUAAUAUCCCAGCGUAUCUUCUCUGGGGCAAUUGAGUCGAGUUAUUAAUGGGUCGACGGAGGAAUUCAUCGGCAAUGAACAAGCUAUUUACAUGGGUGAGGAGGCAGUCCAUGAAGGUCAAGGCUUUCUUGGCCGUGACUUGUCUUCUCUCAGCAUUGGUGGCUCUCAAAUUGCUUAUUAAAGAUCACGACCACUUUUUUGUUGCCUCUGAGGCUGCACAUUUUUUGGGCAUCAUCGUCCUGAUUUAUAAGCUCUCCAGUCAAAAGACUUGUUCCGGUAACAACCUCUUAAACCUUUUGUUCUCAUGAUCAAUUUAUAUUUGAAUUGGAGAGCUGUGAUUAGUAAUUUAGUAUAGUGGCAGUCAUUUUAAGUCACAUCUCUCUACAUAAAGCCACCAAAAAAGACAAAAAAAUAAAACCAAAAAAAUAAAAAUAAAAUCAAGCGAAAGUAAUGUAAUUCACCCUUUUUUCUUUAAUUGUCGUGUUUUAGAUAUGGGGUUUACUACUACUUUUUUGUUGUUCAAUUUUUUUUUUUUUUUUCCUUUAAGGGAGAUUCCAAGCUUUGUAGGAGAUAGGGGAGAGCUUGAGAACCAAAAUCCAUGGUCACCAGUCUAAUGACCCUACUAGCUGAGUUAGGUUAUGUCACUGUUCUGAUACUUCCUGAUUUGAUUCUUGCAUUGAAAUUUAUCUCUUUGAGGGGCACUUGAAAGUUGUAGACUUGUAGUGUUACGUUCUUCCCGCAAUACCAAAAGCACUUGUCCGUGGUGUCCUAAGGAGGGCCUGACGUGCCAUUACAUAGUGGUGAGUCUAGGCACUGUCACGCCCAAAAUAUCAUAGCUUAAUGGACUCCUUGACGAUUGUGGUGGUGACCGAGAAGAUGGAGGCCUGGUUGCAUAUUCAAGCUCAGCUUCGCUAAGUCAUUAGCAAACUUAUUCCCUUUGCAACUUAUCUCCCAUUAUGCAUUCCCAUGGGCUAUGUACUUGAUGAGAUUAUGUUAGUCCGCCAGUUACUCUUUUAGCCUUUUGGUACUAUUUAAUCCAAUUUUGUCAAAUCAUUUAAGUUGCUUCAUUUGUUAAAUCCUAUUUGCCCUUUGUUGUUUGUCAGAUGACCAAAUGACCAUACGACGGAAUUUAAUUUCCUUUAUUUUGCUGUUUCUUUUCAUUUUAGGCCUUUCAUUAAAGUCUCAGGAGCUGACGGCUAUAUUCUUGGGUGUCAGAGUAUUCUGUAGCUUUUUCAUUGAAGGGGACAUUCACACCGUUCUUGAUUUUGUCACCCUUGUGUCAACAUUGUGGGUUAUAUACAUGAUAAGAUUUAAACUGAAGUCAACCUAUGCCGCUGAGCUGGACAAUAUGCCGAUAUACUAUGUGGUAAUGAUUUCUCUUCUUAUAAGUUUCUGCUGUGUACUAUUGACGUCCGUGCAACUUAGGAAAUGUCUGCAGCAUGUUAUUCAUUGGUGUAUAUGCACAUUCACAAAACUAUAUUUCUCAUCUGUCUGACUCUCUUGCACAUGGAAACAUAUUCUUGAGGUCUCUUUUGCAUGUUUUCUUCAAUCAACCAUGUAAUUCUGACUUUAGAAUCCGUCUCAUUUUCUGUUUCAAGCAAGAUAACUUGGCAUUAUUACUGCUUGUUCAAGAUGGACUGGUAUCACUAUUAAGUGCAGCCUUUGCAUCAUUUAAUAGCAUGAGCUGCAUUAUAAUUACCUAGAAUACUUCACUUUCUGCUUUGUCCAAGGUCUGCGAAAGGAACGCGUAAGCUCUGCUUCAUUUCUUUUUCUCACUUGUUUCCCUUUUUUUUGAAACCCAAAAAGAAAAAUCUUUCUUGUGUGACCAACUUGAGUAACUCCCCAUGAUUGGGGAAGUAAAAAAACAGAAUGCAGUUUGGCUCCUACAAAUCAAACUGUUGCUAUUAAGUAGAUAAGUAUAGUACCGGAGUUUGAACAUUAACAAUGCUUAUGCGGGGGGGGGGGGGGGGGGUUGGGUGGGUGGAGACUGUAGGCACUUGGGUUUUAGGGGGAGCUGUUGCUUAUUGAUUUGCCUGUCCAUGCAGCAGCCAACUUGGAACUCUGGUGCACGUAUUACUUACCUGAAUGCCAGAGCAGUUUCGUCACGCUUACCACUUAUGAUAUCUCUUUGACAGGUGGUGCCUUGUGCCAUUCUGGCUGUGCUUAUUUAUCCUUACACUAGUCAUGCUACAAUAUACAGGAUUCUUUGGGCUUUUUGUGUUUACCUGGAAGCCAUUUCUGUGUUGCCUCAGCUUCGCAUGAUACAGAAUGCCAAGGUUUUAUCCAAUCUUAUUAGACUACUACUUUACGCUGUUACACCACAUAUAAUUAAUGAAUUAUUGUCUUCUCAACGUGUUUCAGAUGAUUGAAGCUUUUACAGCCCAUUAUGUGUUUGCUUUGGGAGUUGCCAGAUUCUUUGGCUUUGCUCAUUGGAUAAUUCUGGUUAGUGCAAGGAUAUGAAGCUCCAUUACAUUCCAUUAUGUGUUUUUUCUUUUUAAUUGUUAACAUCUUUGGUGAUAUUGGACCAUCCAUAUGUAUCGGGAUUCAUUUGUGGUGUAGAUGUGGGCUUUCCAAAUGCCAAUUAUACUUGUUUCCAACUGGGUAAUCUGCAAUUUCUUUUACCUCUCAAAGAAAGAAUACUUUGAAAGGUUUGGGACUGGUUAAAUACAGGUUUUCAAAGUCCAUUAUUGAUCUUUGAUGAUUUUGGUGAACUUUCAGUAGGGAAUCAGCCAGUAGAAAUUUGCAAACAAGUUGUCACUCUCGUGAUAGCAGGAGAUACUUUGUUUGUUGUCUGUGAGAACUUAUCAUGACAAAGACUGUUGAUGGUCUUCAGUAUUUAAUUGAUCUCUGAUCUGUUUGAGUUGAGAACCGCCCCAAAUUUCUUAAGAUUUCCUCCUCCCUUCCAGAUAAGGCGUUUUGUGCUUCUGAUGGAUGCAGUAAUCAUAUUUAGAGACACAUGGAUUAGGCUUAGAGAAUUGUUCACUAUGAACAGAAAAGAAACAAAGGACGUAGAGUUGACUGCCAAGAUAAAGCUGUUGUUUAUAGAUGAUCGGAUGGAUUAAGAAAUAUGCAAGUGCUUAGGUGGAUUGUAAUAAAUUCCAUUUGAAACCAUCCACCAUCUGUCUACAGGUUUCUGAUACUGCCGGACUGAAUCUGCUUCUGGUUAAAAGCGGAUACCUUUGGCGGCUGGCUGUUUUCCUGGCAGAGGUGGUCCAGACCUUCAUAUUGGCCGACUUUUGCUAUUAUUAUGUCAAGAGGUGAGCCCUUAGCCUUUUUAACUUGUUUAGGAUGGUGUUCUUUUCUUGGAAUAAACUAACUAACUAGUUAGAAGAGCUUACUGAUGCUCCUUGAUUGUGAAUUGCAGCCUCGUCGGUGGUCAAGUUCUAGCCAGUCUACCCGUCUAAUCGCACUAUAGUCAUAUCUCACACAGAUCAUGGCCAUGCAAUUGGAUGGAUGUUCCAUAUAUACCUACCUACCCAUGCUGGUAAUCUUGGACAGAAAUUGUUUACCUUGUACUUAGUUCUCUUCUUCUUCUUCUGUAGUCAUUUUACCAUGCAAAUUCUCUUGGAAUGUACUUCUGGUGGGUCUCUCUUGGAUGUUUUGAUUACAUAGUGGUGAAUAUUAAAAUCGUAAUAAUGAACAUGGUAAUUCAAACUCUUGAUAACUUGAGAGCAGCUCCUUAGGUUUUUCGUUUUUCUUUCGGGGGCCAUAGGGAAAUAGGAAGUAGGAUCUGUUAGUUUCUUUGCGGGGGAGGGAGGGGCCUGCGGUAAUCAACAUUCACUUGCAAUGAGUCAGCACAGCAGUGGCGUUUUAAGCAGUCGCAAGUAGAUACAUAGGUGCUCCUACCUUUUAGUUCCAACUUCCAUCUACCUCAACAGUAGGUGCUCCUACUUCUUCUUCUUCUUUUUAAAAAGAAGAAAUUUCUGUUUCAAUUGAUGAUGCUGAUGAAACACCCGGUUGAAUCUGGGGAUGGAAAUUAAUGGGAGUUGUCCCCACCACAUUUGAUGGCUAAGAGAUGUUUACUACUACACAAUAAUAUUUCCUUUCAACAGAUUUUUUUUUUUUUUAAAUAAAUUCACCGCAUCAUGUUUAAAAUAUCCAAUGAAAUGAAUCUUCAUUGUUGACUGAUACAUUUAUCGGUGAAAGUAGUUUACCAGAUUACAUUGAAGCUCUCAUCUCUUUUGGUCGACUCGACUCGACUCGUCAGGCAGCCAAUUGCCUCGAAACAAUUUGUCAAGUGUCUGGGAAAGCAAAUGUCUCAUUAGUAUUACAGAUAAGAUAUAUUGACUUGUGAAACUUUUUUUCUUUUGAAAAAUGACUUGUGAAACUUUGCAGCAUGAGAAUAUUAAUCUUCACUUUUGUUGUGGAUUAGAUUACUGCAUCACCAACAAGCGUAUGUACAUUAACAUGAGGAGGAGGAGGAGGCGGAUGUAAUUAAUGAGUCGCCCGUUACCAUCAUGCACUAAUUAAUACGGUUGCCCCUUUAUUUACCACUCUCUAUUCUAUUGUGGGCACAACUUAAAUGGAGAAAUAAAUAAAUCCACAAAAAAGUGUUUACGUGUCCACAUCAGAUGCAAACCCACGCAUCAAAUCAACUAGGCAGUAGGCACGCACUAUGUUCGUGUACGUUAAAUAAAGAAAAUGUUCAUAAUGAAAAAUAUUGGUUGAAAGUUAUUAUUUGUUUUUGUCAAUUAGUAGGUUAUUAAAUCGGAUAAUUGCAGAAACCUCCCCUGAGGUUUCUGACAUUUGCACUAACCUCCCCUGUGGUUUGAAAAAUUACACUGACCUCCCCUGAGGUUACUAAUCCUUUGCAAAUUUAGUCCAAACGAUUCAAAUAUUAUUUUAGGGAGUGAAAUUAGAAUUUUGUACCAGAUUUGCCAUUUGUGCUACAUAUCCAAUGAAUGACAAAGUACUAUAAAUCAAUUAAGAAUUAAUAAAUUUUAAGGAGUAUAAUUUAUGGGCAAACACACAUUACUCAUUUAAAGUACCAGCUCUUUACGAGUAUUUUACUUUCAAAUAUUUAAUUUAUGAUAAAUAUAUCAAUAUUUGUAAGUAAAAUUCAAAAAUUAUUAUAGUAAUAGUGUGAAUACCCGUGCUACGCACGGUGCUUACAUUAUUAAAAAAAAAUUACUCCCUCCGUCCCAAAUUUAAAGUCGUUUCUUGGGACUGCAACUUUUUAUGUACAGUGGACAAUUAUUGGCAACCGAUGCUUUACUUCCAAAUUUACCCUGCUGGAAUUGCAUUAGUCAACUAAAGUUUGUGUUUUUCAAAGAGUCAUAAUUCUGUGGGGCCCACCUCAAUCAAAUGCAUCUCUUCAUACGUUAAGGACACGCAUCAAUAGUGGCCUUAUAAACUGGGAGUUAUCCUGCACACUCUUCGAACUUCUCUAAAUGGGAAUAAAUGGUGGGUCCUAUUAAAUUUCUUGGGACUAUUUUACAUGUGCACAACAAGGGUAAGAAUGGAACUCUGGAAGGGAAAAAUUUUAGCAUGACUCUAAUUUUGGGACAAUGAAAAAGGUGAAACAUGACAUUAACAAUGGGACGGAGGGAGUACAAUCUAUGGAAGAAUUUAAAAAUAGUAAAAUAUUAUAAUCACGGGCACAUGAAAGUAUAUUUUAAAAAAUGAAACUUUGUAACAAUAGUUCAAUAUAUGAUAAAAACAUCUCCAUUAUUAUAAACGAUCAUUUCGAUGAAGGUUGGAUCCUGAAAAAAAAAUAGAAAUCUAUAUCAUAAAUCGAGCGACAUAUGGGUCCAAUUAAAUAUAAUUGAAUAUUUAAUUUGAUAAGUAAAUGAAAUACUUACAGACAUUUUGCCUUUGAUUUGAUAUUGUUCUACGAAUGUGUGAACAUUCUUCACACCAAUCAACCUUGAGUACGAACGCCAGUAUUGGGGGUUUAAUUAACUCUGUUGUUUUUUGUGGACUUCGCACUAUGAAUGAGAAUGCACGAUUUUUGCAUGAAUUAAUGUGUUGGUCGAACAAUGCACCUCCAUUUUUCUGACAAUGAAAAGCAUACAUAGUUCAAAAUUAUCUUUUAUUUUAGACAGUUUGUAAAUAAUAUUGCGUAAAAAAAUAUACAUAUAAAUAAUGUAUACCUUUGUUUUUAAAUCUCUAAGAUAAGAAGCAUCACAACGAAACAUGAAUCAGGCAUGUCUGUCUUGAAGCGCGAGGUAUAGGCUACCACUGAAAUCUCUAACUUCUAUGUUAACAUUAUAUCUGUUAAGAAGAAACUGUGAUGGAUGAUGCAACAAAUUAUAUUGAAAUUCAAAAUAUCUGAAAAUAAUUACCUGACAAUAGUGUCGACUACGUCAUUACAAUGGAAACACACCAUUUUUGUAAAAUGAGAUUGACAUGGUUGGUCACAUUUUUUGCAUAACUCAUGGAACAUAUUGUCUAGGUUGAUACUUUGAAUGUAAGCAAGUAUCCGAAAAUAUUUAACCUAAAACCAUCCAAAGAAUGUAUAGAUUACAAAAAGAAAAUCGAUAGGUUAUUUAUUUAAUAUUCUUGCAAAAAGAAAAUCGAUAGGUUAUUUAUUUAAUAUAAAUUAAAUUAAAAAAAUAAAUGGCCCAUAAAGUAUUAAUUUUUUAUGGCUUUCAUCCAUUACACGAGUAAAGUAUUCGCUCUUUAUGUGCAUUUUAUUCUGAAUCAUUUAAUUUAUGUUAAAUACAUAAAUGUUUGUAACUAAAAUUGAAAAAGUGUUAUAUUAAUAUUUUUACGGAAGAGAGAUUGGUAAGUUUUGUAUUUAACAAAAAUUGAAUAUUUGAAAAUAAAUACAAAUCUGUAUUUGAGCGUAAAUAUUUGUAUUAAAUUAAAUGUUUGAAAGUAAAAUACCCUUAAGGAACCGGUACUUUAAAUAGUUACCGGCUCUUUAUAGGCAAACACGCAUUACUCAUUUAAAGUACCGACUUUUUACGAAUAUUUUACUUUCAAACAUUUAAUUUAUGAUAAAUAUAUCAAUGUUGUUUAGUAAAAUUCAAAAAGUGUUACAGUAAUAUUCUUGCAAAAAGGAAAUCGAUAGGUUAUUUAUUUAAUAUAAAUUAAAUAUUUUUUUAAAAAAUGACCCAUAAAGUAUUAAUUCUUUAUGGUUUUCAUCCAUUACAUGAGUAAAGUAUUGGCUCUUUAUGGGCAUUUUAUUUUGAAUCAUUUAAUUUAUGUUAAAUACAUAAAUGUUUGUAACUAAAAUUGAAAAAGUGUUAUAUUAAUAUUUUUAUGGAAGAGAGAUUGGUAGUUUUUGUAUUUAACAAAAAAUAAAUAUUUGAAAGUAAAUAUAAAUAUGUAUUUGAGCGUAAAUAUUUGUAUUAAAUUAAAUGUUUGAAAGUAAAAUACCCAUAAAAAAUCGGUACUUUAAAUAGGUAAUGCAUAUUUGCUUAUAAACUAUACUCCUUAAAGUUUAUUAAUUGUUAAUUGAUUUGUAGUAUUUUGUCAUUCAUUGGACAUGUAGUACAAAUGACAAAUUUGGUAAAAAAUUCUAAUUUCACUCUCUAAAACAAUAUUUUAAUCGUUUGGACUGAAUUUGCAAAGGAUUAGUAACCUCAAGGGAGGUCAGUGUAAUUUUUCAAACCACAGGGGAGGUUAGUGCAAAUGUCAGAAACCUCAGGGGAGGUUUCUGCAAUUAUCCCUUAUUAAAUAGUAAGGAUUUAGAUGUGAAAAGAUUUUAGUAGCAGCAGUUACAGGAAGAAUGGUGCCGACACGACGUUUGUAUAAGAGUCGAGUGAAAAUUUGAUAGAUAGAUACAAAUGUUAAAAUGUUACAUUUGAAAUAAUAAAUAAUGAUAAGUGUGUUUAAAUAGUAGAUUAUUUGGAAAAGAAAAAGUAUUGUAAUAUUUUUUUAGAAAAAUAUAAUAUAUAUGAAAUGAAAAAAUGUAUUAAUAAUACAAACAAAGGGUCCGUUUGGAUUGGUGUUUUUGAGCCUGUUUUUGAAAAACUGUUUUUCACAUUCCAAAUGCUACAGUAAAUGUGUAUUUCAAAAACAACUUCAAAAACACCAUAUCCAAACAAUAUAUCAAAAACAACUCCAAAUAUAUUUCAAUUAUGCAUAUUUAAUUUGUAUAUUUUAAUAAGUAUAUUUCAAUUUGUAUAUUUCAAUUAUGUAUUUUAACAUGUAUAUUUCAAUUAUAUUUUAAUAUAUUUUAAUUAUAUAUUUUAAUAUGUAUAUUUCAAUUAUGUAUUUUAAUAUGUAUAUUCAAUUAUGUAUAUUAUAUAUAUAUAUAUAUAUAUUAUAUUAAUAUAAAUAUAUUUAUUUCAAUUAUGUAUAAUAUUAUAUAUAUUAUGUCAAUUGAAAUAAAUAUUAUAUAUUUAUAUAAAUACAUUUAUUUAUAUAUAAAUUUAUAAAUAUAUUUAUGCAAUUUUGUUUUAUAAUAUAUAUUAAUAUGUAUAUUUCAAUUAUGUAUAUUAUAUAUAAAUUAUAUUAAUAUUAAUGUAUAUUAUAUAUAUUAUACAUUUCUAAUAUUAUAUAUUUAUACAUACAUAUCAUAAAUAUUUUAUUUUAUUUAUAAUAUAUUUUUAUAUAUUUAUAAUAUAUUUACAUAAAUAUUAUAUGUUAUAUAAAUUAUAUAUAAUAUAAUAUAUAAUAUAUUAUACAUUUAUAUAAAUGUACAUUUAUACAUAAUAUAUAAAUAUUUAUGUAUAUUUAUAAUAUACAUUUAUAUUAUAUAUUAUAUAUUAUAUAAUAUAUUUAUAAUACAUUUAUACAUUUAUAUUAAUAUACAUAAUAUUAAUACAUGUAUACAUUUAUAUUAAUUAUAUUAUUACAUUUCAACAUAAUAUUAAAACAUAUUUAUAAUAUAUUAAUUUAUACAUUUAUAUAAUAUUCAUUUAUAAUUUAUACAUUUUUAAUAAUAUACACUAAUACAUUUAAAUAUACAUUUAUAAUGUAUUAUAUAUAAUAUAAUACAUUUAUACAUUUAUAUUAAUAUACAUAAUAUUAAUUUUACAUUUAUACAUAAUAUUAAUACAUAUAUACAUUUAUAUUAAUUAUAUAAAUACAUUUCUACAUAGUAUUAAUAUAUAUUUAUAAUAUAUUAAUUUAUACAUUUAUAAUAAUAUACACUUAUAAUUUAUAAUAUAUUUAUAAUAUUCAUUUAUAAUUUAUACAUUUAUAAUAAUAUACACUUAUACAUUUAUAAAUAUAUUUAUAUUAUGUAUUAUAUAGAAUAUAGUACAUUUAUAUAUUUUUAUAUGAAUAUGUAAAUAUAUUUAUUUAUAAAUAUACAUAUAUGUAUUAUAAAUGCAUAAAUGUAUAUUUAUAUGAAAAUUAUAAUUUAUAAUUUAUACAUUUAUAAUAAUAUACAUUUAUACAUUUGUAAAUAUAAAUUUAUUAUAAAUGCAUAAAUGUAUAUUUAUAUAAAAAUAUAAAAAUAUAAUAUUCUAAAAAUAUUCAAAAAUAUGUUUCAAAAAUACCUCUAAAAAUAAUCCAAAAAAAUCUACAGUAAAAGUUUUUCAUAUAGUUUUUGAAAAACAACCCCAAAAACAACUAAUCCAAACGGACUUGUUUUUCAGAUUCGAAAUGCUACUGUGGUGUUUUUGAAAAACAACCCCAAAAACAGCUAAUCCAAACGGAGCCAAAUAAAUUACAGUCCAAACAAAUCCUUACACGUCACCAAACUCUUGCUCACGCUUUAUGUAUGGAAGAGAGAGAUGGGCAUAACAUAUCAAAUCAAUCACACGCCAAGACACCAACAAAUCCACGCGCCAACACCUUUUGGACUCAACCGCCGGAGCACCAAAACAAGAAGACAAGGUUCAAAACCAACAACGUUAUCCCAACGUCCUCACUACACACAAACAGUUGAAGUCCGUAUUUCGGAAACGUUACCCAGGCAUGCUGCUGUCUUCUGCCUUCAAGCUCCAAACGCCUUCUAAGUUCUGACUCUCAGAUUUACUAAAUUCACUCAUUGAACUAUUAAUUUAGGCACAAGGCGGCGGUGCAAGUGGUGGUGGUAGCCAACAUGGGUCGACUGAGGAGUUCGCCGGUGAACAAGCUGUUUGCAUGGGUGAGGAGACAGUCGAUGAAGGUCAAGAUUUUCUUGGCUGUAACUUCGGUGAUAUGUCCACUAGUGGCGCUGAAAUUGCUGAUCAAAGAUCACAACCACUUUUUCAUAGCUUCUGAGGCUGUUCAUUUCCUGGGCAUCAUGGUCUUGAUUUAUAAGCUCACCACCCAAAAGACUUGCUCUGGUGAAAUAAAAUCUACUACUAUUACUUACCUAAAAUUUCACCCAUAUGUUGUUCCAUUAAAUUCCAGUGCUGGAUUUAAUGUUAUUCAAUUGGCAAUUUAGUAACUUUGUUUUGCUCUUGCUUUUAUGUCGCUUUCAAUUGCAAAACUCAGUACUUAUGCAUGAUCGGAAUUCUUUUUUCUUUCUGUUUUGACACUCCAGUGGCCACUUAUGCUGAUCAAGGCCUCACUCUCUCCUCUUUUUCUCGUUUGGCUCAUCUUAUUCUUGUCAUCGAAUUUGAAGUGUAUACUAUUUCCUCUUCUUCGUCUGAUGAAAAAGGAAUGAUUUUUUAAAAUCGUGGACAACUGCUUCUGUUGCCUCUGUUAAAAGAUUUCAGUAGCCAAGUUCUCGCAUUGACUGUAGUUAUUUGGAGUAACAUCAUAUGUGUUGACACAUAUUUUCACUAACCCGUAAUCAUGAAAUCAAGAUCAACAUUUUGGGUUUACAAGAAUUGUUUGGCAUGUUGACUUGAUCCAAAAUUGGUAUUUCCUUGGAGCCCUGUGGAGCCAGUGAAAAGUAAAAGUUAAUUUUCUCAAAUAAUUUCAUACUUGGCUGCUGAAUACCGAGGAAAUUACAAUUUGCUUGGAAGUUUUGCUGUUUACUAUCGCUCACAAUUAACAUAUACAUGCCAAAAAUGUAAUUGUUCUCGAUUGGAAUUUUCUGUAACUUGGUUCGUCUCUGAAAUUGAACACAAGCUUGUAGUCGGAUAAUCAAAUUAUUACAGCUGCUUCCUGUUACAGUAGAAUCUAAUAAUGAUUCUGAUCCAGGUUUAUCACUGGUCUUACCAAGAUUGCUUUGCUUUCCCAAUGUUGCUUGUAGGCCUUUCCUUGAAGUCUCAGGAGCUCACGGCUAUAUUUUUGGCCGUAAGAUUAUGCUGUAGCUUCUUCAUGGAGGGAGAUAUCCAUACUGUACUUGAUUUUGCCACCCUUGUAUCAACUUUAUGGGUUAUUUACAUGAUAAGAUUUAAACUGAAAUCCACCUACAUAGCAGAGCUGGACAAUAUGCCCAUCUAUUAUCUGGUAACCUCUUUGCUCCCAGAUAGCUGCCAUCUUAUGCUAGCUUUUUGAGGCACAUUUCAGUUCCUCGUGUUGAUUUCAUGCAUUAAUGCAAGAGUAGUUUAAUUGUGGAGUGCGUGGAAUGGUAGGGGAAAUCUGCCCUAAUUUGCUCGAGUUUUGCUAUGCAGUAGUUCAAUCUGUGGAGCAUUUCAGUAACAUAAAAUUCAUCCCAGUUUAAAUACAUUAAAAAAAUAAAAUGAACAUUCAUCUCAUGCUUAUGGUGUAUGUAUUUUAGUAGAAAUGUUUUGCUAUGUCGCCCUGUGAUUUUGUUGGCAGGUGGUGCCAUGCGCAAUUCUAGCUGUAAUUAGCCAUCCGUAUACCUAUCACGCACUCAUCUACAGAAUACUUUGGGCCUUUUGUGUUUAUUUGGAAUCCGUGGCAGUGUUGCCCCAACUUCGGAUGAUGCAGAAUGCCAAGGUUUUUCGCCAUUUCUUGUUAAGUUUGCUUUUUUCAAACUGAUGCAUGUCUUGCAAGAAUCUAUUCGUUUUCUCACAUGUAUUUCAGAUGAUUGAACCAUUUACGGCCCAUUAUGUAUUUGCUCUGGGUGUUGCAAGAUUCUUGAGCUGCGCUAACUGGAUCAUCCAGGUUAGUAUGAGAGCCCAUAUAUAUAUAUAUAUAUAUAUAUUUUCCAGCAACGAGAUAACAUUUGUAUAACCUAAUCAUACAUUGAGAAGCAUAAUUCAAUAUUUAUAAGGGCAACUGAUUGAUAUUUUACGAGGUAUUCUGCUUGUAUACUCUUUAGUGGGACUUGGGAGGUGCAAAUUUGUAACUAGAAUCUCUGAGCCACUAGUCCAAAACUGGGAGGUGAUAUUUACAAUUUUGCGAUAACUUUUGUUAAUCGCUAUCACUAAGACUUGCUAAAUUCCUAUUCAUUACUUAAACACUCGUGAACACUGAAUGAAAUGCACCGAGUAUCUUAGAAUUUUUUGGGUUUAUAGGAACUAUGAAUGAGAUGGUUUUGCAUGGGGAAACCAUCAAAAUAGGUUGACCUGACCCUUAUUUGAGGAGGCAAUUUUGGUUUUCAUAGUGUAUUUCUUGGAGAAGACAUGAGACGUAAUAGAAUGCCCCCAGCAUACAUAAGUCUUGUAAAUUUGUAGAUGUUGAAUAGCUAGCAUUCUUCCCUGGAAAUAUAGUCCCUAAUCCAUUUAAAUACAUUUGCAGGUUUAUGAUACUUCUGGAAAGUAUCUGUUUGUGCUUGGAGGAGGGUAUUUGUGGGUUGCAAUGGUUCUUCUAUCUGAAAUUGUCCAGACGUUCAUCUUGGCUGACUUCUGUUAUUAUUACGUCAAGAGGUGAUAUGCUUAAGCACUUCAUUUCAACUUCUUCCUCGUAGUUUGUCAUUAACUGGUUCACAAGUAGCUUACCAGUCUUAAGUCUAUUUUCUUCUUUUGCAGCGUGAUCAUGAAUGGCCAGCUUCUAGUCACCAUGCCUCUGCCUGUAUAAUAAUAGUACCACACUGAUAUAUAUAUAUAUCUUUUUUUUUUUUGGGGUGAUCAUGGUAGGCUUGGACAGAACAUUUUACCAUGCUUUUUAUUGGGUUAAUUGACUUAUUUUUUUUUUAAAAAAAAAAAUCAUAUUCUUGCGAUUUUCUGUGGGUCUGGAUCAAUUUGGGCUUGGGUCAUGGUCCAUGCUGCCGUUUAUGCUGCCGUAAACGAAGAAGGAACGUGAUUUAUAAUUGCAUGUCCAAUAUCUCAAUCCAACAAUUAUUCCUAAAAUUUUGUAUUCGAGAUUCAUUAAUAAUGGGGCGAGCUACAACUAAAGACCCUUUCCCUUCUCUGGGGACUGGAUUCCGUAUCCACCUAAUAACCCUACAAUCCACGCCAAUGGCAUCAAAAUUCUUAAACAAUGGGUUGUCUUGACCAAGAAAGGAGGGUACUAGUGUAUUUAGCAUAUGUACUUAUUAUAUGAUUAGCAGUUUUACCGAAAAAGCUGUCCUAUAUCAUAUGAUUGGCUAUUUUUGUUAAAAAAAAAAAAAAAAAUGCAGCGCUUGCAUUAUUUGACCAAGACAAGAGAAACAAAUCAUAUAUAUAUAUAUAUAUAUAGAGUAAAUCUUAUAUACAUUGACAGUGUAUCUACUAUCAUCUUCAGAUACAUGACAUAUGUGUAAAAAUUAAAUUUUAUAUAGUUGUUAUUGAUCAAAUGUUGACAGUGUAUACACUGUUAGUAUAGAAAAGAUUAAUCCAUAUAUAUAUAUAUAUCAUUCUACGACUAAUGGCAUGGAUAGUUGUGGUUUAGGGGUGUCACUGAGUAUUAACUACGCGGUACAAUAAAAACAGUAACACAAUUAAUAUAGAUAUUAAUAAAACAGUAACACAAUUAAUAUAAAUAUUAAUAAAACAAAUGUAGAUACUAAUAUAAAAAAAAGAAAAAUGUAAUAAAUUUUUUGGGCACAUUGAAAUUAAUAAUGUCUUUUCCUCCGUUCAAUUCCAAAACAUCCCAUCUCCUACCUUCAACCGUACCUGAAUGAAUUCCUAUGACCAGGGAGGGAGGAUCUCAAUUCGAUAGUUAUGAGGAUUAAAGGUACGGAUAGUGAAUCAAAUACUACUUUACCUUGUUUUGAUUGCAAAUUUUUUUUUUAAAAAAUUUUUAAUCACUUUUUCACUCACUAUAAAAACUUCAAAAAAAAAAAAAAAAAGCGAUAGAGAGGGAGGGUGCCUACCUGGUACUUAAGAUUAAAGUGCAAGGACAUUUGGCCCACAUGCACCAGCCUAUCGUCACGUCAACCCGCUUUAAUGGACUUUUCUUUUGCUUUUUUGAAACCAGGCUCUCAUCUUUCCAGACCUACCUGGCACUGGCAGCGACACUUUUAAUCCAUCGUAACUCAAAUCAGCAUUCACCCUUUCCACACCAACCACUCGCCGCGUGUCCUACUCCUACCCGCCCAGAUUCCCCCGCCUCGACCCGUCGCUAUCUAUCUCCCUCCCCACACUCCACACCCCCCUGCCUCUCUCUCUCUGUCUCUCUCAAGUCUGAACUCUGGUUUUUUUUUUUUUUUUUUUUUUUUUUUUUAAAAAAAAGAAGACGAGAACGGGAAAGCAAGCCUGCAAAAAAUGAAAACACUCCAUCACUCCCCUCAUCAGCUGACCUGUCACAUCGACCUAGCCCCACACGUGUCUCUCUUUCCUUACCCUUUUCUGAAUGCUCCUUCUUCUCCUCUUCCAUGUGUCGAGCUUCCGUCCAUCUACGUGUCAACCCUGCUGUGGCGAAAGCGACGGUGCAUCCAUCCGUACUCUCAAAGCGACCCGCCAAAAAAGCAUUAAAGCCAUCUCCAGAAAGGAACACGUGUCGAGUUCUCCUGAUCUCAGCGCGCGUGUCAUCUGAGCACACCACGUGGCAGCCGGAAAACGCAUGCAGGCCUUACAUUACUGAUCACAGCAGCAGCAGCAGCACCGGCGAAUAGAUUAACGUUAAAAAUUGAUUUAAUUAAAAGCAGCGGCUCCUGGGCCCGGGGAGUCAAAGAUUAUGUUCACCGCUAAACGACGAUUAGCGGGCUAACCGUACUUAACGCAUGUAUCAAACGUCUGAAACCUUGAAGCAUCGCUGCCUUUUUUUUUCAUCUUACGUGUCAGCCUAACCUCCACUGUCCUCUACUCUCCUCCCUCCAUGUGGCACUCCCCCCCAGCUCUCGCUUUAACCGCUCCUGUUUCUGUCCUCCGCUGGCUUUGAGUUUUCUUUUGUUUUCAAGCGAAGUUUGAGCCACAGGGGAAGAAGAUAAUAAUUGGCAUCAUUGUUUUUUAUUGUUAUCAUGAAGUCAUCUUAGUAGUUUCAAAAUUUUAUUCCUUUCUUAGUUUUCGAGUUUGAGGGGAUUUUUUUUUUUUUUUUAACUUUUCGUGCUGAUGGGAAUGUUGGAGGUAUCUGGAGUUGGGGUGGGAGAGAGUGAGGAGGAAAUUGAGCUGAGUUUGGAGCUAUCAAUAGGUGGGAGCUAUGCAGGAAAAUGUGAGAAGACAACUGCAUUAGCAGAGGAAUCCUUGUGUAAAGAUGAGGAAAGGGGUCUUGAGAAUAUUAUUGUCCCAAGAUCUGGUUUUUCAUCUUCUGAUCAUCGUCAGGCUAUUGUUGUUGUGGAAAGCGAUCAUCAUGGAGUGGAGGGCGGCCGGUUGAGGAGUGGAUCAUCAGAAGCUGUGGAUCAAAACAGGAACAUCAGGGAGAUGCAAGCCUUGAGAAGAAGGGAAGCAAGAAAGAAAAGAGAAGAGAAGCUCAGAAAAUCAUCCGUCAAUUGUAAAGGGAUAAUUAAUGUUGCCAAUCUUGACAAGGUGUGUUUGGAGGCACAGCAGUUGCAAGCCAGGGCUGAAGAUAGGGCAAUGAAAGAGAAGGAGAGUGUUUGGGAUGAUCAUAGCAAUCAUUGUUUAGCUGGCACAAGGAAGGAGAAGAAUGUUGUUGCACUUGUUAUAGACACUGAGGCUAUGAAAGACUCAAAUUCUAGCGAAAAACAAGGUUCAGACCCUAAAGAAGCCAUUGCUUCUUGUCAGCAACAAAAUCUUGUUGGGGUGAUGCAAAUGCCGGAGGGGCUUUACCAGCAGUCACAAUGCGGGCCAUUAAAGAAAAAUGGUAGUGUGUAUCGAUAUGGGGUGGCAUGUUUGGGUCCCUCCGGGGUUGUGGCCGGAAACGAGGAGGAUGAGAUGAUGAAGGAGAAGAGUAUGUUUCAACCUGCAUUGGGUUGUGGGAGUUUCCGGCCUUAUCUUAAUGCGAAUGUGGUUUUGAACAGGAGACAUAAUUCAGGGAGGGGUUGUGAUUCAGGACACAAUAGUAGCGGUGGCAUAAUAAGUAGGAUUGUCAACCAGAAAGCUGUCUCCAAUGGUUCUCUUGACAGAAGUUCCUCAGCCAUUUCAGAUUAUAGAAGUACAUCUGGGAAAGGUAAAACAAUGCAACGUUAACACGUUUAAAGCUGCUAAAUUGCUUGCUUUGAUGUUUUCUUGGUUAAGUAGUAGUUUUACUUUAUUGCAUUUAUCUUUUGGUUUAACUACAGCAUUUGUCACGUACAAGGAAGGAAUUGCUUAGGUGCUGGAGAGCUAAGAUAUUGAAAAAGAACAGUGAUCUUUAGAAUAAAAAUGUUGGUUAUAAUCUAUCAUAAUUGGAAUUUCGGUAAUUGGUGUUCGAGAUGAAACUGAUUAGCAGUUCCUAGAAAUUAAAGAAAACUAUGGAAGUGGAUUUGUGAAAAAUCAACAUCAGACAGGUCGAUAUUGGAGAAAUCGUCCAGACACAGACUCGCUUGAAAACAACAGAGUGGAUCUUGAAUAUCGACUUUCACGUCGAUUUAAGGAAGUUAAUUUCAAAGCCCAUUGUUAUGAAAACUGCAACUGACUUCAAAGUUUUUAUGAAAACAGGAUGGAUUUCCUUCCUGCAAUGUCUUUUGGGGGACGUUGUUUUUGUGCUUCUGGAUGUGUUGAUGCUUGGUUUAUAGGCUUGCUGAACUGCAAGAACCUUUCUGAAUCAAUAAUAGAAUAGAGUCCUUUAUGAUGAAUCAAACUUUCGAACCACUCUCCAAAAUUUUAUUAGUAAGCCGAGUCUAUUUCUUUAAAAGUCCACUCUAGAUUAGAUUUCAUAGAAAUGAUUUCGAUGUUUGGGGAAAGCUAAUCAAAAGGACAGUAUUUUUCUAAUUUCAAUUGAAAACCUCAAUAUUCUAAGCCUAUGCAGAGCUUUCAUUAAUUGGUUUCCUAACAUGUUCUUCUUGGAUCACAUCUAUGUCGGUACUUGUCAAGAUGCUCUAAUGGUUCUCGCAUUUUUGGUCUUUUCUUAUGUUUGGAUCGUUAUCCUUCAAUAUUCUCAUGAAAUGGUCUUCAGAGAUAUGUUUAGGCGGACCAUUUCUAACCAAAAAAAAAAGAAAGAGAAUUAGACGUCUUCCCAAUAACACCCACAUCGCACCUGCAUGUUCCUCUUGGAUAAUUUUAUAUGAUCUGCGGUACUCAUAAUAAACCUGUUUUGGUUCUAUUUUGACAAUAAAAAAGAAAGUGUUUCGGAAUGGUGAAGCGACAAAAAUGGUGAUCGUCCUUUUCCUGAGAGUGCGUAAGGACACUUGUUGAACUAUCUUAGGCUGGUCACCCUGAUGGUAGUGCAUUGAUGGUCUUAUAUUGGAAAUCAAUUUGAAGUUAAAAGGGAAAAAUAAAAAAAAUAAAUAAAUCUGAACAAAUGAAAAGAGAACUGGAUAAUGUGGACUUGAAAUCCAUUUUGAAGUUGAGAUAAAUUCAAACUUUGCAGAUGGUUGUGGAUUUCUCAAGUGUUCACUAGGUGCUGCCUGUGGGCUAAUUGAGAUCAAUGAUGACAUCCCAUUUGAUACUAUGUAUGGUAUACGGAAUACCCCGCAAAAAGAAUCAGAAAUCUGUAAUAACAACCAUCAAGAUGUUUGUGAUGUUCUAUUUUCUGGAUGGGGAAAGAAACCAGUACCAAUUCGUUAACAUUCUUAACACUGUUGCAGGUGGAAGCAUUAGCGACACUGGAAGCCAUUCCAGUUGCCUACAAGCAAAUGAUAGGCAGUUAAGCCUUUCAGCAACAAGCGAUGCUCUGCAUCAAGCUGAACCCAAUAGCACUCUGAGCAAUAGGGAGAGAGGGGAAGAAACAAUAAGAGUGGCGAACUCGCCAAAGCAGAUGUUUUUGGCCGCAGAACCACAAAUUUGCAUGGUCAACACUUGCGGAAAUUAUAAACCGGAUACCAAGUCUAAUGCAGUGUCUCCAAAGUUCAAGGACACAACUUCUAGCCCUCUAAAGCAAUCCAAGGAGGUCAAAGACAAUCCAUCCAAGAUUCAAUCCCAUAAUUUUGCGAUGCCUUCUCUGCCACAAAUGCCUUGUGUGUCCACCACAGGAAACGGUCCAAAUGGUAAGACGAUAACUGGGUUCCUGUACAGGUACACAAAGGCGGAGAUUAGCAUUGUCUGUGUUUGCCAUGGAAGUUCUUUCUCUCCGGCUGAGUUUGUGGGAGCAUGCUGGAGGGACAGACAUAACGCACCCACUACGGCACAUUACCAUGAUUCCUUCCUCUUUCAGAUAGCGAUUGGGAAAUAAUCAACGCCUUUCUUUCUUUCUUUUCUUUUGCCUGCUGCAAAAUAGGGUAGGAGAGAAAAUUAACUAAAUGCUCGGAUGUAAAGCUAGUACAUGGGUUUUUCCUAGUUCCCUGUAAUGCAAUGAAAAAAGCUCUAAUUUUACUUCUUUAAUCCUGAUGAUGUUCUUUUACUGUCUUUGAUCGUAUGGACAUGAUUACCUUACCAUGGGAAUUUUGAUAGGCAAGCGACCACAAGGAGCAGGUACCUAGCCACCCUGAAUGCAAAACCACCGGAGUCGGCAUCCACGGCCAUGCCCGUCGCCCACCACCCUGGACACCAUAAUUUCACACAUUGGGAUAUGCUUAAUGUUCAAUAACUCUCUAAGCUCACGUUCCCACUGGCUGCGUCAUGUGCGGAAGCGGAAGGUUAUCAUGGAGAUGAAAACUGUUGCACAAGAGGAAGAUAAACUAGACAAUGGACAGCAAAACAUCGACUAUCGGUAUAACAGAGAAAACUUGCUCCGGAAUGUUUAAGCCCAAACGGUAAAUAGAAGGACUCUACCUUAAAAGUACAACGAAGUCAAAGCCCAGAGAUAUACUACAUCCCUCCACUAACACCCGAUUGCCAGUGCACAGUUGAUGUCUGAAUUGUCCAAUCCAGUCCAACCGUAAGCGAGAUGCCAGCAAAUCCACAGGUAGAUUAUGUAACGUAGCGUCGCGUAGAACGACAUUGAUGAAUUCGGGUAGAUUGCAACAAUUAAUUCAAAAUUUUAAGUAACACAGAAGGUAUCCUGCGCCAAAAGCUGAUUAUCAGACAUCACAAAAUCAUGUUAACAACGUGGAACAUUUGUCAGAGCAGUUACGAAUUCCAACAAGGCUUCAUCUGUCACCUAAAUACCAAAUUCCUCAGCCUCUGAAUAAUUUGACAUAGGAGAAGAAAGAACAAGUAACCUAAUCCCAUUCGUCUUCGAAGAUAAGAUAAAAUGGCUUACACGAAUAGAACAAGGUUAUAUACACAGUACUGCAAACAAACGAAAAAAAAAACCAACAUAUCAAAGCUAAAACCAGCUAUCAUUUCUUCCAAGUAUCUAGAGUAAAGAUACCCCCCAAAAAAGAAUUCGUCGAGUACAAAAAAUAAGCCCAUAACCGAAUGACAAGCAACUCUUCUUCGGGCUUAGUUAACCUUGUGCUGUUACAUCACAAAAACUACAUGGAACUUAUCUACUAUCCAACUAUACUUGCCAGAGACGAAAAAAUUAGAAUAGAAUUUGUCAGAAAUUCCAAUGAAAAUUUCAGGCAGCCCCAACAACCUGUCUACCCAAAGGAUAUCUCUACUCACUUGAUCCUUAGAACUGAAGAGAAAAGAGGAAGGGGGGGGGGAUGAUCUAACAUGAUGUCUCACCAGCCCUAACUAACCUAAUAAACCAUCAAGCAGUAGCAGACACUCGAGGUGUCAUAUUCUUAGUUGUUCCGUUUGCCAUUCCACCACCACUGCGGUUCAUGCGGCCGCCAUUGCUGUCAGACCUUUGGUAUCCAUCACCUCCGCGGUUUGAUGCUACUCCUCGAUUGCCACCUCUGUUGUUGAAUUCAUUCCUACCACCAAAAUCACCUCGACUGUAGCCCCUGCCACCUCCAUAGUUUCCACGGCCUCUCACUCCCUCAUUUCUGAACCCUGAAACUCUUCCAGAUUGAUACCUUCCCCUAUUAUUUCCUACAAAAGCGAACAUAAUAAAUAUAUUAGGUUGUGGCAAGAGGAACCAAGUUCAGUUCCAACACUAAACUUCAUAAUUGGCAUAUCUAUUACAAACUUCAAGAAAUGUAACAAGCAUUGCAAUCAUCAGCCCAUCCCUUUUUUCACCCGAAUAAAGGCAAAAAUAAAAUGUUAACUGGAAGUCCUUUCUCAACCUAUUAAAAUUCAGCCAAGGAACAGGCAAGGUGAUAGACAUCUAGGAAUGUUGAUUUCACUCUCUCUUAAUCCUUCAUAUAUAGACCACUUACACAAAACAUUUAUAGGAAAGCUUUGCAAUUUCCAACUUGCCUCGAGAAUUUGUAGACCUCUUUUCUUCAACAAUGGCCUGGCGUCCACCAAUUGCAAUCGGAGAAGCCUGAAAAUAUCAAGAUUAAGACAUUUUGGAGGAAAUGGAGUAAACAACAAAAGCAAAUAAGUAAUGAACCAUUUAAGCUCGUCUACUUGAAAACUAAAUUAGACCAGUUAAAUACUUGGGACAACGUGAAGAAUAAUAAGCAUUUAAACCAAUGAAAGAGAGAUUAGCAACCACUUCUAGGAGUUUUUUAUUCUCCAUUUCUGUGGGGUAAGGAGGGUUUGGUGGAUUGGCUGAUUCACUAAAAGAGCAGAUCAUACAGAGGGAAGUGAAAAUUUUACACCACAAGACAGCUAAGAGAUACCUCAACUAAUGCUUUUGCAUCAAAUUGGAUGACAGGGCAAGGUAUACCCAUAAGCAAUGUGAAAUUAGAAACAUCCCAACCUCCAUAAUAACACAUCCCCCCUCUUUUGACACAGAGAGAGAGAGAUUUUUUUUUUGUUUUUGGGAAGAGGAGGGGGGGGGGAGAGGGAUGGCUAGCGCAGUUUGAUUUGUUCAUAUAUUUAAAUGCUUUGCAUUGAUUCGUGGACAUCAGAACAAGUUUAACACUAAUGCUCAUAAAGCUUUUGGCUGAAAAAACCCUGAAAUGCCCAUUUAAAGCUAGAUGGCAACAAAGCAGUCUUCACAUACCAUCAUAAAGGUAAAAGGAAACCAGCAAUCUUUGGAAGGAUUACUCAGUUACUGUGUAUAGUUUCAGGUUUUUGUGUAGCAUGUAGUAGUUUGUAUGAAUAGAUGCUAAGCUGUCAUUGUACUAAAGCAUGCACGACUAGGAUCCAUCCCAUCACAAGCAUAUAUACCCCAAAAAAAAAAAAACAAACACAAAGAUCUUUGCACUAUAAUAGCAGGGACACAUGAAUGACCACAGUAAUUGGAAAUAACUAUGAACUAGAAAUUUUAUGAAAAUAAUUGUAUAAAGGACAAAAACAGAAGCUCAUAAUCAAAUGAUUUAACAAAGUAGUCAAACUUUAGGAUUUCAAGACUUUAAUAGUUCAAAAGAAACCAGACAAAGUUCAGUAACUAUAAUCUGUUAUUAAUUUUGUAAAACAUAAUAUGGCCCUGUUCAUACUAUCAUAGGAAAGCAGGUACCUCAAUUGCUUUUUGAACUGCACUUGGUACCUCAAAUUCCACAAAACCAAAACAGAAACCCUGUUGCUGCAGGAGAAAACAAUAUAGUCAUAAGGCAAAAAACACAAAAGUACUAUGUAAAUACAUUUGUUCCUACUUACUCUGUUGCUUCUGACUUGAAUGCCUCCAUUCCUUAUGGGGCCAAACUUCUUGAACUCAUUCUCAAGCAAUGUUACAGUAGCAUUCAUUGGCAAACCCUUUAUGUAUAUUGAAUAGCCAUCCGCUGUUCCAAGUAAGAAAAAUGGGCACAUUUAAAUACAAAACAAUAUACAUGGGAUGAAAUACAUAGCAAAAGAUUAAUAGUUCAAAACCCUCAAAAAUAGCUUGCCUUCUCCAUCUUGGUUAUUCCCAUUAUCAACUGCAUCAGGACGAGGAACCAGUCCAUCAGAUUCCGGUUCUGGGGGAGGGAUCACCUGCUCUUGGCUCUUUGGUACAGAUUUCCUAGGAGCAGGCGUAGGAGAUGAAAAAGCCACUGCACUUUCCUUCAGGUCCAUCACCUAAGACCCACAAAAAAAAAAAAGAUUUUUGGAUGAGAUAACCAGUAGCAGAAGACCGAACUGCCUCCAAUACCAAGAGCUAACAAACUCAAAUUUCCUUUGGUUGAAUCAAAUUUUUACAAAAAAUAGACAUCAUCCUAUGGCAUAAACAUGGUUUAGAAUUCUCAGUACAAUGGACAACAAAUCUCCAACUGUUUUUGACACACACACACAAAGAGAGGAGUAAAUUUUAUAGUUUAACUCACGAUGGAAGCAUAUGAUUUCUUAGGCACUUCUUCAAUUUUGGUGUUAGAUUCAACCACAAUCUGCAUUUCAUCUUGGACUUCGUCAAGAACCUCAGCUACUGGGACUUCCUCCUCAGCAUUUGGGAUUUCUCCAUUUUCAGGAGGGUUGUACACUUCACCCCCACUAAUUUCCUCAGCUGAAGAAGUGCUUUGCUCAGAAACAUGAUUCUCCUGCACAGCCGGAGGCGGAGGGUCUGCCAGAUAACAAAAAAUUAAACAAUUAAAAACAAUCUCUAGCAAUUGGCAACAAAACAAGCAUCACCGUUUCAUACUUUGUUCUGGAGUCACAGGAGCAACCACUUCAUUUGCCACCCCCUGGUUUGUGUCCUGUUGAUUCCCAUUUUCUACGUAGCGAAAAAUGUCAUUCAAAACAAAGUAGCCCCUAUCUUGGGGUGCAAGGAAAAAACUCUGGGAGAAAUUCCGGAUCAUGUUGUCGUUCCCAGUCAGAUAUCCAGUAACAAGAACCUGCACUCCCCCGUUAAAAGACUCUUGAGCAUCUACAGACCUGAUCUCCGCUCUGAACUCCUCAUAGUUAAGUGACAAUAUUUUCUCAUUGAUUGCCUGUAAAUUUGCCACAAAACCAGACAACAUGAAAAACUUGGAAACUAUAAACCUUCAAAACCGUAGGAGCUUUUUGUUUUUUAUCAUGCUUCUUAUCAAUGAAUGUUCUUCAAAUACAAAUCCUUUUAACCUUUCAUCUUUCUUUGACAAUUAAUUGCAAUAAAUCCAACUCCUUGUGACUCACUUGUUUCAAGCCUAAUUAGUUUCAGUAGAUCCAACUUUCUUUAAGGAGAACCACCACAGCAGAAUUCUCGCUUAAGCUAAAAUGAAACAACCCCAUACUAGGACUGGACUUAACUGCCCAAGUUCAUUCAUAAACCUCUUCAUCUUUCCCCGACAACUCUAGCUUCUAAAACUGGAUACAUAAAGCUUAAAAAUGACGCUACCACUAAAUAAUAGAAAAAUCAACCACCAAACCAUAAUAUUGUCAGAAUUAGCAGAAUUACAAUACAAAAGAGUAUUUCAAAGAUAUUAAAAGUUUACUUGCAUAGUUGUGGUGAUGCUCAUGCUGCCAUCAUCUCCAGGCCGCCCAAGCUUACUCAUAUCCUGAUAAAACCUGUAAACAAGCUCCGGCGAGUGGUGCAGUAUAUGAUAGUACUGUUGCACAAAGGCAUUCCCAACCUACUCAAAGAAAAAUCGGAUCAAAACCGUAUAAAUGAAGCUAAAAAAAUUCAAGAAUAUUCACGAAAAGAGGAAAAAAGGAACUCAAACGAAAAUCCUUGAACAAAUACAUACAACUUGUGCAGAAACUGGUUGCUGUGCCGCUACUGCUGCUGCUGCUGCCAUCAGCGAUGGAUCCCCCUCAACCUACAAAAAAACCCUAAGAGUAAGCUUAACUAGUAGAUACCCUAACUCCUCGUAAAUCUUAGGGUAAGAAUGAUUCUACACAAAGAAAUGCAAAUACGAUAAGAUAACUUUUUUUUUUUGGGUGAUCUGGUGGUUACCUGGAUUUGACUUGGAUCAAAGGAAGGUGGAGAGAGAAGCCGGAUUUGGCUAGUUUCUCUCUGUUCUCUUUUGGUUUGGCUCGAACUCUUGCGACUCACUCUCUCCUCUGGAGCAGCGGAAGGGGAAGCUAGGGUUUUGCAGGGUUAGGCGGGCGGGAGGAUGUUUGGCUUUGGGAGGCAGCAGAGGAGGAGCUGAGAGCGGAGGAGAGAGCAGAAGUAAAUAAGGGUUUGAGUGGAUUUUUAUAUAAUUUGCUAGAGAGAGAGAGAGAGAGAGAGAAAGAGAGAGGGUGCGUAUAACGGAGGCAAGUGCAACAGAAUACCAAUAAUCGGGUCGACCUCUUUUUGCCCUUUUCUUUACCUCAUCAAUUUGUUUUUUCUGGAUUCUUUUAAGCGUUAUUCAACGGGCAAAAAAAUCAGUCAAACCCCAUUUAUGAAAAAAUAACAAAUUUAAAAUUUUUCAAUGUUUAUUGCUCCUUUACACUUAAACAUUGUCUAAAAAUAUUUCUACAACAUUGACAUUAGAUUCUUUUCAACAUUUGUUCGCCUAACACAUAGUUCGAAUCUUGCCUCCCACCAAUUUGUCACAAUUGUGGUUCUUCAAAAAAUCCAGAUGGGUGUGUGGUGCACCCGUCUGGUCCGGUGAUGGUUCUGUCCCCCAUAGGCCCAGUUGGAUCUUUCUCUAGUUCGAUUAGGAUAGAGUCGGAGUAGGAGUAGGGAUAACGAUUGACAAAAAAAUAAAAAUAAAUUACCUACUUAACUCAUAAAAGGGUUCUUAAUUACUUGUUGUAGUAUCUACGAUAUUCCUGUUUCUAACAACAACAAUUGAUUGAUGCGAAAUAUGAAUUAUUAAAAACUAUAAAAUUACCUUGGGAGUUUUGCAUUGAUAAAGAGGUGGGAAUGAGUUCUACAAGUUUAUCAUUGUCAUCAAUGUGUUUAGAUAGGAGAUUAGUUGAAAUAUUAUUUGAAACAAUUAUUAUAAUACUUUUUGUGAUGUAAUAUAUAACAAAUAAAAAAGUGAUUGAAAAUAUAAUGAUAUAUGUUGAAAAUGUGUUUGUGAUACAGUAAUUAAAUUUUUUUUACACAUAAAACCUAUCCAAACAUGAAUAUUCAUUAGUGAUUGUUUUUUCAUAUGGACUAAGCCAUAAAUAGGGUUUUUUUUUUAAAUGAACGUGCAGAUACUAGUAAAAAUUAAUGCCAAGCAAAGCAAUAAAAUGUUGGAAUCAACAGUACAGCUUGGAUAUCUGUGGCCUUGUAGAAUUAUAAUAUCAUAAGAUAGUAGUUUACGGACAAACGUACGAGACGAAUGAUGAGAGCAGACUGGAUUUAAUGAAUACCUUGGAGGAAUGAUUUUGAUGAGCGUCAUUUUGUGCCACUUAUUACUACCAAUACGAAUUAUUGAAGUCAUUAAGAGAAAGGCGAGUAGAAUUUAUUACGGAAUUGUUAAGACCGAAUAAAAUUUCCAACUAAUGCUCUGCAAGCAAAAUAGAUUGGCGUACGGAUUUUAAUUAGAGAAGCAUAACAUCUUGAACUUGACCUAGUAUGUCUUUUAGUUUUAUAAGGAUGUUAAUUCGGCUUUUUGAAUUGGAUUUUGACAAAUUCAAACUCUGCUUACAAAUUAUACAAAUUUUAGGCUUUUGAGCAUUCGAAUUUCGGAUUCAAAUUAAAAUGUUCAAACACAACUCAUACAUUCAACCCAAACUCAUAAUUAUAUAUAAUUUAACAUGACUCAUAAUUAUAUAUAUACAAUUAUACUCAUAUAUGAAUCGGAUCUGAAUCUAACAUGACUCAAACUCGACUCACAAUUAGUUUGACCUCAAUAUUUAGGUCCAAAUUCUGUCUAACCCAAUUAAACUUCAGACUUAAUGAGUUUUUUGCGAAACCAAAUGGGCAGGGCUCAAACCAUCCGGAUCUUAUUGACAGCCCUAAUCUUUUCUCAAAGAGAAAACUCAUGCUACAUCUUUGCUUAGUUAUUUCCAAUCGAAUAAUCCCAUGCUCACUCUUCCACCUUACAUUUCUAAUUGCAACAAUUCGCCCGUUAAGUUUUUAGUGUUUUUAAUUACGAUACCUACGUUCCAUUGUUGGAACAUAGGUAUCUUUGAAGAGACGUAGUAAAAAAGAAUCCCUUGUUUGUUUUCCACGAGUGUAUGGAAACAAGGUGGUGAAAGAUUCAAAACUUUAUUCUCAAGGUCAUCAUUCGUCUUCUCUCACAAGUAAAUAAACGUUCUAUUUGACUCUUUGACGAUGGUUAUGAUUCCAAUUCCGCCUCAGAUAAGUUACCACAUAUGUUUUAAAUCAAAUCUUUAUAGCAUAACUUGUGUGUGUCGUAUGCUUGAGUUGAGCAACAAGUACAAAAUCUCAUCCAAUCGAGUUCAAAUGGCUAAGCAAAUUUACAUUUGUAACAUCUCAAGCUAAGGUUGUGUUGGAAUUGCAAUUUUUUGGAGAUUUUGUAGUUUAUGUAUUGUCGCGAUUUGAUAUAUGUGAGAUAAUGAAAAAUGUAGAGAUUUUUUUGAUAAAAAAAUCCCUUUCCAAAAGUACAAACUAGCUCGUUCUUGGCUUCCACCAGAAACAAUCUAUAUAUCUAUAUAAAUUUGAGAAGGGAUUUUUAGCAACAAGCCUUCACAAACCUUCCCACUCUCAACUUUAUUUUUCUAGCAUUUUGCAUUUAAUUUAUUUCAUAAGAAACAUCAUGGGCACAUUACACCCCCACGUUCCCCUCAAACAAGAAGUUAACUCCAACUAACACUCCCACAUUUCCCACUCCUUACACACCUUAUUCCAACUAACACUCCUCAUACACCUUCCCACUACAAUUAAAACUCUUCCAAUCAAGAAUUUCACUUACAUUAAAACUCUUCCAAUUCCAUGCGCAAUAUCUCUUUCCACUUGCUGUUGGUAUCCUUAUUGGCCCUCAAGUUAAAUUUCACUCCAUACACACCUUCCCACUACAAUUAAAACCCUUCUAAUCAAGAAUUUGCGAAUUUGCCAAUGCCAUAUAUUACCGCUUCUGCUCUUUCAAUGCCAUAUAUUGUCCUUUCUACUCUUCCAAUACCAUAAUAAGAUUGCAACCUUGCAAGUAUAAUGUCAAUUGCAACCUUAUACUAUUCGGGCAAGCAAAUUGAAUGUUAAUAAUAGCUGUCAAGUUAAAUAGCUGUCAAUGCCAUAUCAAGUUAAAUAACCGUCACUUUAUACUAUUCGAACAAGCAAAUUGUAUGUCAAUUGCUACUUGAAUUUUGGUCAAUACCUACACAGUUGGUAAGUUUUACAAAUAUCAAAAUAUUAAAUUAUUAAUAAUAUUUCAUACCCUUACGAAUAUGUAUUUGAAAAAAUUACAGGUUUGAGAAUGAUAAAAUGUGCUCAGAAAUUAGUGACGUGGUUGCGGUUAUGCAACCAUACAAUCUAUAUCUAUAUGUAUUCAAGAAGGGAUUUUUAGCAGAAACCCUCUCAAUGCCUUCUAAACUUGUCAUACUUUUUUCUAGAUUUUUGUAUUUAUUUUAAUACAUAAAAAAGUAGUGGGUUAUAACCCACCUUAUCACCAAUCAAUAUUUCCACUAUCUCAAUCCCACUAUCCCACUAUCUUAACUCAUAUUUUUGUAUUUAUUUUAAUACAUAAAAAAGUAGUGGGUUAUAACCCACGUUAUCACCAAUCAAUAUUCUCACUAUCCCACUAUCACCUUAUCACCAAUCAAUAUUCCCACUAUCUCACUCCCACUAUCCCACUAUCUUAAUUCAUCCUACAAUUACUCCUACAAAUUCUUCUUUACUAAUCGACUUAAUUAACUUAUCGAGUUAAUUCCCUCACCCUCUCUUUCAGUUUCUUAUUUGUUUUGGGUUCUCUAUUGAUUUUGUAAAUGUAUUGAUUUUGUUUCUUUUGUGAGCAGUAGUGGAAGAUAUUAUGUGCAGAGACUCCAGCAGAAAUCAACCUUCUUGCGGCCGGCUUAAUUUUCCAGGUCAGUCCCCUCUGCCUUUUAAGUAUGUUUUGCUUUUGCUUUGUUUUUUGUCAUGAAUGAUAUUGCAUUGAUUUUCUGAUCAUCCAUUAUUUCUGAAAAUUUUUUACAAAAUCUUAUGAACGGUUGUUUGCUUAUUGUUACACUGUAAAACAAAGGUAAAAAGGUAUUGCUUGCUUAUAUAAUUGCGGAUGGUAUAGGUUCAUGAUUGAGGGUUCUACUAUUUCUAACAUAAAUUGUAUAUUAUAAAAAUUUAUUUGUUUGUAUUACUGAAAUUUUUUUAAUUAUUUUUUAUUGCACAUUUAUCACAUAAAAUAGGUGUUACGAUAGUUAUUUUCAUUAUUUUAUUCCAAAAAUGAUCUUGCAUGAAAUAAAAAAUGAUUUUUUGAUAAUUUAAAAAAAUAAUUAAAAAUGGUUUAUAAUUGGAGAAAAACAAUUCAAAUACUACGAAUAACUAAGGCACUAUCGCCCAUUAUUAAAAUUGGAUUAAUUUUUAAUUUCGUCAGAAAUCCUUUUGACAAAAUUGCAUUCUAGCCUUUCUUUUCUUUAUCAAUAAUGACAAUUACAACUACGUGAUUCAUCUAUCUAGCAACAGCACAAUUCAACUCAUGGAAUAAAUAGUUCAUUGCUUAAAGUACUUAAACGAAAGGUUAGAGCCAAGUCCUACUUAACACCUGCAAGUAAUAUAUUACAAUUAGAAAAAAGAAAAUGAUUCAAGAGGAGCAAAAAACUCACCAAACCCCUGACAUAUGUGCAAUCGUCAAGGCACUUUUGAGCAUUUAAAAUUGCAUUCCUUAGUUCAGGUAACAAUUUCUCUGUAAUUGUUUUUAUUUGAUUACAAUGCAAUUCUAUUGAUGCUAUUUCUAUAUUAAUUAUUGUAUUUUUUUGGUUAACAGUUCUCAUACAAUGUAUCACUAUUUACACAUAAAAUAAAUACAUAAACUAUUGAUUUUUAAUUUAAUAUAUAUUUUAUUUCUAGAUCAAAGAAAUGAAAAAUCUAACUGUCCUCAAGAUCGCCAGGUAUCCACAUCACCAAUGAUUUUGCGUGAUCAUGGUAAAUAUACAGUUUCUUAUAUCGUCAUACUCAUCUUACAUACACACUUUUUGGCUGCACUAUCUUGCUAAAUCAACUAUAGAUACAAUACAAUACAAUUGUAUUACAAUUGUUCGAUUACAAUACAAUUGUAUUACAUUCUAUUGAUGCUAUUUAUAGACAAUUUAGCAAUUUUAUAGAUUAGCAAUUAAUUUUAUUUUAUAGAUUACCAAUUACUACAUGUACCAAAAUAUUUUUAUAUAGGGAUUACUUCAUUAACUAUAUGUGCAAAUAACAAUUCAAUUGGCGCGUAUUUUUCAUUUGAUUACAACACAAUUGUAUUAAAUUCUAUUGAUACUAUUCUAUAUUAACUAUUGUAUUUUUUUGUUAACAAUUCUCAUACAAUGAUAAAAAAAAUUCUCAUACAACCCAAAAAAGACGGCUCUUGAAUGAUAUAUACAUUCUAUUAUAAUUCAAACUAUUGUUAAACAGAUAUUAUAUUUUAAUUUUAUUGGUAAAAUUUUUUCACCUUUAUUUGUUCAUCAUUUUAUUUUUUUUCCAAUAAUGUCAGCACCGUGCAUAGCACGGGUAUUCCCACUAGUAAUGAUAAAGACGAGACUACAAAUCAGCAAUAUAGCGUUAACGUGCCUAGAUUUUUUUUCCAAGAGGGAGACAGAGAUUGAAUUUGUGUCUUCCAUUAUAAAGAUUUACCCGAAGCCGAGCUUUAAGCAUAUCCUUGAUCAUACUUUGAGAUACCGUAACUUCUCUUUCAUUUAUCAGCCAAUAUUAAUAAAGCCUUGGUUUCUGAAGGUUGAAGAGCAGCAUCCUCUGGAAAAAACCUAGCUUCCGCCUCUUAGACACUAGAGCUAGCCCUGCCCCGAGCAAAACGGCCCAGCCAAACACAGAUAAAAUUUCACCCUCUUUUCAUGCACUCGCCGUAGAUGGUGAACACCCUUCUCCUCUCAGUCCUUUACUUAUUUGCUGUCCUCGUAUGAAAGACCAAAAUUUCAUUGGCAACUUUUUUUCCUCCCCAACACACUAAAUCCAGGAAAUUCAAAGAAAAACGAGAAGCUAGAGCUUACUGAAAUUUACACGGUAUUUGCAAGAGAAGCAAGAAGAUGUCUUCAAUGUACUAGCUCUGCUAGUUCAAUCAUCAAUGAAUCUUGUCAUUAUGGCUUCAGAAACCCAUAAUUUGGGUACUCUGUCUAAUGCUGCCUAGACAUGCUAGCGUGCUACUAACUGGAAAAAGUUGCUUUUAUACUGCCAUAAGAUCUAUAUCAAAUAUAUAUUAGCUCAAAUUUUGAAUAUCCUCAACUUUAUAACUGCAGGAGCAACCGCCAAAGUACUACUGAUAAAUGCAUGGAUAAGAGACACUUUGAAAUGACAUGACAUUACUAUCACUCGUACUAAUAAAACUAUUUUGGGAAGACCAUUCGAUAAUCUAAUAAUAAAUAAAUUCAGCUUAAAACACCAUAAUAAUUUUAUUAACUCGAUCAUACAUAAGAAAGAGAGACAUGCUAGCAGGAGCCAGAAGGCCAUGAAAAGAACAUGAAAUUCAUAAUGAAUAGCAAAGUGUACAAUCAUCAUAUAGGAUCUUGAUCACAAAUACUCGAUCCCUUUUCAUUUCUUCCAAUACACACCAAAGUUUGGAAGAACAAAGACUACCAAGCAUGGAUAAACACGAAGGCACAGACACUACCGUCAUACACAAGACUGACCAUUUAACACACUCGUAUCCUUGUGUAUAUCUUUUCUUUAGCCUUAAGUAAUUUCAAAUCAGGAAUAUUACCAGGUGUAAGCAACAGAAGACUUGAAAAAUAGGUAGCCAGCCAUACAAAUUUAGGUUUCAUCACAACUCCGUGGUCGUCAUAAUAAACUACUUCCAAUAACAUCGCUAACAUGAACAAAUACUUAAACCAUAUAUGGACAUUUGCAUGUCCCUAUGCUAUUAUUGUUUGGUGACUUGGGUAAAACAUCCGAAAGCAUGUCGGCCCGUUUUGCUGGCAAGAGGCAAGUUUCAUGCUUUCAAUUGAUUAAUAAUGGAUUACCCAGCAUUUCCAUAUCAUAAGAUGGUAACACAGUUGCCAUGUAAAUAUUCUAACUCUGCCACAUGAUCUUCAUCAACAACAUUCACCUGAAGAAGACAUAUUCUUGCCUCCUCUCACGCUUCACAAGGUAAAACACUUUUAGCUUGUCCUUAUUAAAAAUCCACAAUCUGUUUACCAGAUCUAAUUUGUAGAUAAAAAUGCGAAUCUUCCAAAGCUUUUCUCCUAUUUUCACUAUUUCCAUAGGCACACACAUAAUACUUUUGACAGCCAUGCCCUUUGCCAGCAAAAAUCUUAAAGGCAAGUUCUUUCUUACAUAUAGAGGGUGAAACCCAAACAUUUAGUUAAUUUUAUGUACUUAAACAGGGCAAUUAAGUGUCUUCAAGAAGGUAAGCUGACCAUUUAACAAUUCGUUUGGGAGAAAACAAUGCCACAGUCCUUGUACUCAUUGUUCAACCCAAAAGCAUGAAUCCUUCAGAAAGUUGCUUGUAUACCUCUUCCACACCAUGAUAAUCAUUCCACUAUGUCUCAAAUGAGGUUUAUUUCAUUCAGUUAUUAUACUAUUGUGAAUGAGGAUUAAGGAGCAAAUGAUGCUACAAGCAGUCAAUGCAAAAGACACCAGGGGCCAUUACGCAAAUUGACAGCAGCAUCAGAUCAUCCUUGGUUCAUACUUAUCUAUCUAACAUAUAAAAGUUCAAUGAUCAGGAUACACAUGGGCCUUCUAUUCAAAAACAUAUUUCUUGGACCAAAAUAUACUUUUGAACAAAAGGACCAUGGGAAUCAAGAUCAUGAAAUUUUACAUGUUAUCACAUAACCACAGCUACAAGCAAUAAAGCUAAACGUAUGAUGCUUUUCAAUGUCAGAAUAGGACACCCUGGAUCGAGAGGGUUGAGAUAUCAAACUAGAAAAAGGGAAAGAAUUUUAAUAUGCAUACAAACACAGGACAUCAGUGUCUUCAUGGGUUAGAUUUUAGGCUCAGGUCAUUUUCAUUUUCCAGUUACAAUAUUUAAUCCACGACCUCAAAUAUUUUAUUUUAUUCACACCAAAACUAUCCAUAGACAAUUCAAUCAGUUUGGUUUCAGGUUGGGUGCACAGGUUGAAAUCCUAGAUUAGCACAGGGAUUGUCUUCAGUCAUCCUGUAAGAGUAAUUCCGUCGGAACAUUUUAAUAAAGAUGACCAGAAAAGCAUAGAUGAUAGAAGCUCAAACUUUUUGCCCCUUCGGAAUGAGAACAAAUACAAGAAAAGGAAAGUGAGCAUAUAAACAAACAGAAUAAGAACUAAAAACAAAUUCAGGAUACUGUCCCUAGUUAAAUUAAACACUAAACCAAUAAAACAUUACUAACUAUUAUACGUGAAAGUUUCUUGCCACGCCGAAACAGGGUUUCAGGCUACAAUCAGUCAAAGCUAAAAUGAAAAAUGAAAUUGGCUGUUAAUAAUGGCCAGUAUUACCCUAAAGUCCGUCAAAAUACGUAUACAUACAUACACACACACAGACAUAUAUAUACACAUACAUAUAUACAUAGACACAAGAAGUUUUUUAAAAAUAUAUAUGUAUAAAUGCAACAAGCUUAUCUUUAGCUUAUUAUUGCACAACAAAAAUUCUCUAUAUCACAAUUCCAAAUAGAAAGAAACAAGGUGUAUCCUCAUAUUGAAAACUGAAGGGCCCAAUGACAAUGAGGAGCUUCUGUCAUGCAAGCAAAACAUCAAUUGAUUCAAUUAUUUCCUAACGAGUUUCCCAACACCAACAUGUGAACUUCACAUGACACAAAAGAAGAGGCCGAUGCCAGAGUUUGCGGAGGCUAAAGAUUGUUUCAGAAACAGGAACAAUAAGCAAUCGAGACAGCAGGUCAGACAUGUAAAAGAGGGUACUUGAAAACUGAUUAUCCAAAUUUUGGGCAUCUCACUUAUAUACUUACAGCUUAAGAGGGUUACAUCUAUUAUUUCAUAAAGCCCAUCCAAAUAACAAUAUGUGGAAAGGCCAGAUAAAAACAAAAUUCCAAACUGCAGACAAAUGGGAGCAAUUAAACCUUUAACUGAAAAAAAUUGGUAACCAUUACCCACAACAUCAUUGCGCAUCUCUAAUAGUACAAAUUUGUUAAUUAGGAAAAAAAAAAAAGCAUUCUAUAAAGCUUAACUUUCAGUCCCCAAAUUUCAACUGUAAACAUUAUGAACAGUUAAGGAGUAGAACUCUAGACUAGUAUAGCAGUGAUGAAUGCUGAAAGUUGAACAGAGAAGAAAGUUUUUAAGGCAUAAAACAUUAGAAUUGAUUUACGUGCAAGAGAGGUGCGCAGGCCACAGGAAAAGGUGCUGGCAAAACUUGCUUGGGCAAUCCUUCAACACAGGUCACUUCAUAACAUUAGCUAUAGACCAAAAUUGCAGGCUUGGAUAUGCUCAUUUUCAUAGUCAACAUACUUUGUCCAAAGGGGCCUAUACUGAAGCAUGCCAAUAUCAAGCCACGGUUUCAGAUUCCCGUUGAAGUGCACAACUGCAGCAUUGGUAAUCUCAGCCUUGUCGAUGAAUGGAUUAUAACCAAGGCCCAAAACAUGCCAAGACUUGUCUAGUGGUUUCGUUGUUGAGUAGUAUGUGAUGAGACCUGGAGGCAAUGUUCCCAAUUUCCAGAGUGUGCGAUUUUCAUUCUGCCAAAGAGAUAUUCGUGAUUUUAACAGUGACAAAAGAAAUUUUUUGAUUGCUAAUGUCCUUGAUGCACAUAAGAGAUAACAGAAAAUAAUACAUAACACAGCAAAGAGUAAGGCAAAGAAGCUAUGGCUGCACAACCACAGGAUAUUAGCAAUACAAGCAUAUAAACAAAUCAGUUGCUGAUCCUACUCCUAAUACCAAAAAAGGCAAGAAUAAUACGUUACUUGGUAAAAGAAAGAAUAGAAUUGAUUAUCUUGAAUAGAAUUGUACCACUACCACACAGAAAUUAACAUGCGUGGGUUACUAAUCAAGGGCAAAUAUUAAAUUUCAAUGUAGGCUUACCAGAUUCUGCCAAUAGUGGUAUUCUUCAGUACAUUUCUCCCUCCUCCAUGCGUCCAAGUCGAAGAAAUUCAUCCCAUAAGCCCAAGCACAUGCAUUGGGAUUGAAUUUAGCGUUAAUUAAAGGAUGAGAAAAAUUCAUGUAUUGUUUAUACCGGUGAAAUGACCCAAAGCAUGUCUCUACGGCACCAUUCACCUUCCCAUCCAUAUCAAUCUUCCAAAGCCCAGUCAAAUCCUUUUGCACCACAAUAUCAUCAUCCAAGAACAAGAUCCUGUGCAAUUUCGGGUACAUUUCUGGUAAGUAGAACCUCAGAUGAUUCAAAAUGGAAAGAUACUUGGGAUUCCUGAAUUUCAUGUUUGUCGUAUCUUUUGUUGCAUUCUCCAGCUUAUUUUCAAAGUAAAACUUCUGGAGAUUUGCAGAUUCGAGCUGUCUAAGAACUGGGACAUAAGAAGAGUUCAAAAAUUUGUAAUCUUCGACAGCCUUCACUUCAAUGUGCGCCCCGUUGUAAUCCUUGAUCUUGAACAUGACUUGCAUAGCCCCCAGAUUCAUCUUAUCAGUCACCACAUGAAACACAUGCUUCCAUGGCUCUUUUGAGUUGUUGACAGCAGAAUUUACGACUACGGAGGCAGCAAUCACAUUAUCAGAGAAGAUGGCAUAGUGAUACAGUUUUGGAUCCUCAAACUCUGGUGGCAUAGGCUUCCCCUCAUCAGUAUAUUUCUCCGGGUGCGCAACUCGCUCUUCCAUCAGCCUCAUAGCCACGCAGUGCAAACUCUUGGGGAUCGACUUUGCAGCAAUCAAGCUUGAGAAAGCAGCCUGCUUCCUCACCUUGGUUAACUGCUCAUUCACAGCAAAAAUGUUAUCUUUCAGCUUCUGAAUUUUGAGUUGAUUAUCAAAACUCUCUUUGGCCUCUGAGAUAACUUGCCGCGUCAUUUUAAUCCUCUCCUUCAACUCCUUCUCGAACUGUCUGAGCACUGAUUCAUCAAUUGAGUCAGCAUCCAUGCCAAACAGACUGCGAUAGAAAGGUUUGGAUAUUAGAUCAGUGUAGUUCCGGGAAAGAUCCGCAAAAACCCUAACAAGCUUAGAGUUCUCAAGCUUGAGCUUCCUAGCAUAGGAAGCAUAAGCGAGAACCAAAGAUCGGUGAUCAUCGGCUUGCUUUCGAAUCUGAUCGAGUCUAGGCUUCAGGGGAUCGGAUUUCAGCGCCAGUACAGACCUCCUAGACCGUCCUCCGCCGGCCAAACCAAAAGAGCCCUAAAUUCAACAGAAAAUCCUGUUAAUACAACAUGAAUGUGUUAUGAGCCCUAGAUGAGACAUGUGAGUGACAGAGAAAUGUGAAGGUAAAGGCAGGGCACAGACGUUCCAAAUGGGGUAGGAAUGACAGAACGCAUAAAAAUCACUGCAAGAAAAGCACGAUAUCCUUCAAAUAUAAUUAUCGAGUUACUAAUUUCUACCUUUAAUUAGGCAGUCAAACUAUGACGAAUAUGCAGAGGAAUAAACACAUGACCUAAAUAAGAUAUAUGCAUGAAAUGCUAAAGAGAAUGGGGAGGGAAUUAGAAUGAACAGAUGAGGGAGGAAGGGGGGGGGGGAAGCAGACCUGGUCGAGAUCGGAGGAAUGGGAGGAAGAGGAGUGGAGGAGAGAGAGGGUGGAGAAAAGGAAAAGGGCGAGGGCGAGGAGGAGAGUGGCGAAGAGCUUGAAAGACGAGGAGUUGGAGGUAGAAAGGCGAGGGGCGGGAGGCCGAUCUCGGAGUAAGGCCCGAAACCUUCCAAUCGCCAUGUCCUCCUUUCGUAUCCUAGAGAUUCCCAGGAAGCAGCAAUAACAAUAUAAUUUCGUUGAAUCGCUUUGUCUAUGUCAAUGUACUUUAGUUGCGAUGCAAUUUCGAUAUUCCAAGGAAAAUGGCAAAUGAAAAGAGGGCAAGAAGGCAAGAGGGAGUGGGAGAGAGAUGUCGGUGGUAGUUUGCCUCCCGCGGCUACUACCGCUGCAGUGCUGCUGCUGGUCUCUCAAGUCUCAACUCAGCGAACGCGGGGACUGGGGCCUAGUGAGUUGACGGUGGUGACGGUGGUGAGAGAGAGAGAGAGAGGAGAGGAGAGCGCGUUUUUGUAUCUUCUACAGAUAGGUGUUGUUCAUCACGCUCCUGCGCAUGGCUCAAAGCUCCAAAACAGCAGAGGCGAAAAAAUGACGAAUACGUUCAAUAAUACAUCUCUCUAGAAGGGAUGUCAAGUGAUAGUAGUAAUUAUAAGGUAUGUUGUUGUGAUAAGAAGUGUUAACUGUUAAGAAGAAAUGAUAACGAUAAGAAGUGAUAAUGCCGAUCUUGUGAUAAAAAGUGAUAAUGACGAUUUCGCUCUGAAGAUAAAUUUUCCCUACUUUUUACUUUAUCUAUUGAGUGAUAUAUGACCAAAAAAAAAAAAAAAAAAGAAAGGAUUGGCUCUGCAUAGUAAUUCAUUAAAAAAUGGAUUUGUCUAGAUAGAGUAUUAUUUGAACUAAUUACUGUAGCACUUUUUGUGAUAUGAUGUAUGUGAGAAAAAAAGAUGAUUGACAAUAUAAAAAGGUGUGUUGAAAGAUGUGUUUUUGAUGUAAGCGAAAUAUUAUUUGGGAUAAUUUCACCGUCCAAACAAAUCCAAUGUAAAAUUAAGUCGGGCAACAAUUAAAUCAACGGCAAGUGAUGAGUAUGUGUAAUUCCAGAUGAGAAGUUCAAUGCGGAGUUACUAGCAGGCAGGGGAAUAUCUGAAUUCUUUUAGAAAUAUCCCUCAAAACUUAAUACAUAUCUGCAUCUUUCAAAACUGUUCCGCAGAAUAGGGUUGCUGGCUCCUGGCUUUUGUUUCGGUAUGAAUUUUGGUUCAUUUUUUAAGUGUUUUACGUACUCCGGUAACCAAACAAGAUGGGGAUUAUAAGCUAGAAUUGAAUUCACAUGGGAUUGGGAGUCCGAUAAUGCGAGAUUAUGGUUGCGUAACAAAAGUAAACGUCCAAUUAUCGAAGCAGAUUAUGCGCAUCUGCUGAUUAUUUCUCUUGUCUCUCUCUCUCUCUCUCUCAUUACCAUGAUUAUAAUAAUGUUAAUGGAACAUGGAAAUAAAAAAAAAAAAAAAAAACCCCCCACUAGAUGCAUAAAUAUGGCCUGAUUCUGUGGAAUGAUGGUCCCGUCACAGUGUGAGUUGCAGAAAAUCACAAGUUCAAGCUCAAGCUCUUUUGACCAAAAAAAAAGGGCUCACUUCCCUUAUGGAAAGGGGGCUAUAACAGGCACACAAGGCAUAGGCUUUUUAAACGAACCAGAUCUAAUCGUCCCAAAAUUGCCAGUUGAAGACCCAAGAGCGAUUUUGCUAAAUCAGGGCCUGCCUGCAGGCCCACAGCUCAUCAGAUGCACUUGGACCAAAUAAACAUACAUCCUUCCGUCCGCUAAUGAAUGUAUCUCGUACAACACCACACUUGCCGAAUCCGAAUCCGAAUCCGAAAAAAUUCAGACAGAAUAAAAUGGAGGGCUCUUGCUCUUCACAGACCUUGACCAUUUCAUUAGGCUCCAAAGAUUUAACUUCACUUCCUUUUUCCACUUACUGUUUAUCAUGGACAUCAUGCUAGAGCUAAUGCGGUCAAGAAUCUGCUGCUUUUUCAUCCAUAACUUGAAGAAAUUAUAGAGCACAAGAUUUUCUUAUUAACAAUUGGCAUGGGCGCUAAAAGAUACAAACUAUAUAUAUACUAGCAAGAAAUAAAUAUUCAAAGAAACUAAAAAUAGUAGUACAAUCUCGCUGCUACCACCAAUUAACGACUAGUGUCAGUGUAUGAAGUAAAUUAGAAUCUGUCUCCACUGUGCACCUUCUUGCUAUGCCUGCUCAGAUUAUGCAGCCACCCAAUUCCUUUAAUGGCUUUAGAGAUCUUAACGAGAUUAGGCCUUGCCAUUCCCAAAUUCACCCUUCCUGCUGACAACUUAAGGGCUUGCAAGCAACAAAACUGCCCCUCUGACUCCUCCUCCUCCUCAUCCUCAUCGUGCCCAUCGCAGCUGAUAUCUUCGCAUUCACGAUGCUUGCUUUCAUUUUUCUUCUUGUGACUCUUCUUCUUGCUCUUGCUCUUUGCCUUGCUCUUAGUCGAUUCCACCUCGUAGGUCUCCCACAAUAAAUCCAUCCCUUCACCUUCAUCCGCAUUGUUUCUCUCCUCGAAAAGCUUGCACGCCAAUGUCCUUUUCCAAUCCUUCCCCUUCCUCAUUGAUCCAUAGCCCCCAAGAUUGUAAUCCAGGGAUGGAGAACUCUUCUGUAUUUUCCAGAUACACUUGUCGUUAGUGUAAUCAGCACUGGCGCCAACACUAUGAGAAUGCGCUUUUAGUAGCUUUGACUUGGACUCCAUGAUCCCGUUGCCUUUACCAACUUCAGCUGAAUUAGUAGUAUUAGUAGUAGUAGCGUGUCUUAUUUUAUUACCUGCUGCCUCGGAUCCAUUUCUCAUUGGUGACUUUUCUCCAUGAUUGUCAACUGCUUUAUUGGCCACCGUGCAGGGUGGCUCGAUUUUCUUCUUUUCCACAGUUGCAUUCACUUUCACGUUCUCAGACUCAUCUACUUCUUGCAGGAAGCACUCCAUUGCAUCACAGGUACUUUCCGAUUCAACAAAGGCCUCUGACUCUGAUUCCAAUUUACUUGCCAUUAAUGCUUCGUUUGAGGUUACGCCGAAAUCUUGAUGUCCAACACAUGCAGCAAUAACCGGAGCAUUUGAAGCUUUAAGAGAAGUAUCCUCAACUAGUACUUCCGCAUCAAAGCCUUCAACUUGGCUUUCUUUAUCAUCCUGGGUCGUGGGAUUGCCAAACACAAUCUUGAACACCUCAAAGUCCUCCAGACAAAGAAGUUCCUCCUCAUUGUGAUCAUCAAUUUUGGACCUCAGCCUUUCUACAACUGCAUGAUAUGCAGCAGUCAGGAAACUCCCCUUGCUUUCGGCAUGGGAAUCGGAUGAUUCCUUGGAGAAGCUGCCACUUACUAUGAGACAAGGAGAGGCUGUGAGGAGGGCAAGGAGCAGGAGGGAGGUGGUAAUGAAGAGAGGGGAAAGAAAGGAGAGGAGCUUGAGAAGGUAGGGUGAGAAGAAGAUGAGGUAAGUGAAGUAGAGAGGGUGGGAGGCGAUGAAAGAACAAAAGAGGAAGAAGUUGGAUAGGAGGAGACUAGAGAGGUGAGUCCUGGACGGUCUAGACAAGCACAGCUCAGACAUCUCUCUAAGUCGUGCAGGCUACAGAGGCAGCCAAGGGAGGACUCGAAUUGAAAAAUGGGAGAUGAGGGAAGAAAUGGUGCAGGUGAAGUGAAGUGUGUCGGAGGCGUUUGUCUGGUUGGACUUUGGAGCAAGGCAACAGAACAGGGGAGAAAGUGUUGGGAGUGAAUGCGGCGUGAAUAAAGGGGAUGCAAUUGCUGGUAGUGGUAGGGAGAGAGAAAUAAAAAGCACUACGACUAACACUCUAUUAUGAUUUAUGACUAUGGGAGGGACAAGAAAUUCUUACUGCUACUUUUCUUUCUUCUUCUAUAACCACCAGAUGUAAACUCAAUUGUCUUUUCUGCUUUGAAAUUCCCUGAACAGCCUCGCGGGGGUCAGGGUCCCAUUCAUUUUCCUAGCGUUUAAGUAGUACUGUUGACACAUACUCCUGAUCUAUCUGGCAACUGAGAAAAUUGCUAAACCUUACUCCUAGUUUCAUUUCAAAUGAGUAGUAAUUUUGGUGAUGUGCAUAAAUAAUCACUGGCUGAACUGCUCAAGUCAAAGUUACAGUCAUCAACUGGUUGCAUAUUUUAAAAAAAAAAAAAAAACAUGUAUCACAUGCAGAAACAAAAUACGCUAGCAGCAGACGGGGGAAAUAAUAAACCAAACACAAGCGCACGCAGCUUAUUAGCUCAUCGAUGAUAGUAGUAGUAUUAUCAUAAUGAUAAUGCGCUCCGCCUUGGCAUCCUAUACUCGCUAACAUUCCAGAAUCCAGCUUUGGGCAAAUAAUGAAUGGUAGGUGGGCUCCUGAUUCUGCAACUAGAAAAUGCACUAGGGGACUGGCGAUCCUACACAGAGCCAAACUGAACAAAUUGAAAUAGUACGAGUGUUUUGACAGGGGAGUUUCUGAUUCAAGAAAACACUACUACUACUAAUACCGUGGUGACAUUUCCGAAUCACGUCCACAUUCCGAAAUUUAAAGCUUGCACAUUCUAAUCUGUCAUUCAGCUAUUACUUCGAAUUGACCUCUAUGUUUGCCGGGAAAUUAAUACUCUACCAAUUCAUUAAUCGACCACCAACCAGUUAGCCAGUCAUAUAAAGGAAGCGCGCGGACAGGCUAAUGUGCGCUAAGAAUGGAAACUCAGCAAAGGGGUGGGUCGGCAUAGGUGAUUGAGGGGCUUGAUGAAUGCACAUGGAAACCCACUCAAUAGCUACUCAAGCAUUCGCUAUGCAUGCACCGUUUGGUAUCCAAGCUUUUCAAAAGAAAUAUGGGCCCAGAUGUCUGCUGACAACACUCGAGGAUCUUUCUAAUUAUCCACCAAUCCCGUUAUCGACCAAAAUUCCACUCAUCCAAUACAUUUAUGUCUAUUUGAUCACCGGAAAAUUACGCGCCUAUUGCAUGUAUACUAAUUUUACGUGCCAUUUAGGUGUCGGUACUGCAAUGCCAAACUCUCCUUUUUCUUUCAAGUCUCUUUAACGGGUUUGUCUUUUAAAAAAAAAAAAAAAAGUCUUUUUAACGGCAGUAACAUUAGCACACAAAAUGUUUAUGAUUCAACUACUAACCCAAGAAUUAUUACAGAAGCCUGGUAGGCCUCUGUAAGCUGCUGACUUGUAGAUGCGUCCGUACCAUGGAAGAAAUGUAUUAUCGGUCUUAUUUCCGAGUUUCAUCUGCCAGUUGUCACACUGAUUAGCAAGGAUAACGAGGGUGACUGGCACUACCAAGGGCCGCGAGUGGCUGCAAGACCGUUCCCAUAGUCAGGUUAGGGUUGAGGCUGAACGUUCCCGUCACUUCAAAGGCCGACAGGCCUCUCAACAAAUUCCAGCCCUGAAACGGAUUUCUUUCGGGAAUACAACUACUAAGGCCAAAGCCCUUGUCCAAUCGCCACCAGAAAUAUGCUCUCUACAAGUCUACAUAAAAAAAGACCCAGCUUGAACCACCCCCCCCCCCCCCCCCCCACAAAGACAAUAAAAAGGAAAAAACAAAAGGGCUUGAGACGACAAAACGCAUCUUCCGUGGUACAAAUGCAUUUUGGUGCCACCAAGGGUAAAUCUUGCCGUCAAACAUAAAGGAGGGAAAUGGAGUUCCACUUGCACAAGACAACCAUUUGGAGCUAAGCGACGACAAUGUACUAUGCGACACCAUAAGACGCUUCUCAGUCAUAAAAGUCAGCCUCCUACCUUGGCUGUGUAUAAUUCCCAAUAAAAGUCAGCCCCCUACCUUGGCUGUGUAUAAUUCCCAAAGCACUUCUCCGUGCUGUGGCUGCGGGGUAGCCCCUGAUUUGGUUUGCGAGGCGCAAACUGACAGGCGACAGCAGCAGCUUGCACAGCGAGCAUUAAGCAGAACGGGGCUCAAGUACCUAAGGAUCCUUUGAGGCAACUCGGUAUCUCAUGUAUGCAUGGACAACAAAUCGGCGAGAAUGGCAAAUAAUCAAAUUAGAUAUGCAAUGUUUACUAAACAAAAUCGGUACCCACCAGAUCAAUAGCAAGAAUCGCCACUUCACCACUGAAAGAAGUUUGGCCAGCAUAAUUCAGUGUAGCCACGGUAGCAACAUGGUUUAUAAACCUACAUUGCCCCAAAAUCCCCAAAAUCCUAGUAACUGGAGCUUGAACAAUCACAGAUUAACAACUGCACACGGAGUCAAACCGGCCCAAUCAGAUUCUCUAAACUAACUUACAAGGAAGUUGCUAGGUCAUGUGACGAUUCAAGAAUGACGGACUUGUAUGCGUGAAAGGCUUACACGGAAAAGCACAAGGGACCCUAAAAGAAAAGGUAACUUGACCUCUUAACCCCCUUUUAUUGUCUUCUAAAAACAGUCAAACGUCAUUAUUACAAACACUUGUGCAACACCCAUCAUGUUACGUCUUAAGAAUUAGAUGCGCUCACUGUAACUUUAAGGAUUAAAUAUAGAAGGAAACUUCUCAUACAGUACUUGGAAGCAAUGCACAAUGCAAAAUAUGAAAGACCUGACCACCUCUAAGUCUAAAUGUCCAUCCAUCAAAAACUCAUAAUGGCAGUAUUUAACCAGGCAGGGCUUACAUAAUGAUGGACUACAACUUCAGAAGUCAGAAAACAACACGAACAAAUUUCAUCUUUAGCAUCUGUAACUGAAAGUUUUACAUCACAUGCAUCUUAAGGCUCACAUCAAGGAGAUCGCUCGAUCAUUACAAGAAGAUUAUUCAGUCAUUACAGGCUUGUUCUCACUUGCUUU
rnacentral:lncRNA from 1 species